AAAUCUUUGUGCCGUGACAAUUGGCUCCCUUAUACUCAUACGUUUUCCACCCUUAGAUUUAUUCCAUUGAUCAUUUUUACCCGUUAGAUCAUACUAUUCAACUAACCACCCACUCAACCCUAGAGGGACCACUAUCAUUCUAAGUGGAGAUCACCAUCAUCCUAACCACACAUCCCAUCAAUCAACGGUUAAAAUUUAUGAGUAUAAGGGGUUCUAUACUCAUAAGAGUAUAGUAGCCCCAGCCUAUAUAUAUUAUAAGAUAAUAUAUAUAAAAAAUAGAGGUAAUUUUAUAGAUACUCCUCCUAAAGUCUAAAAUAUCAUUGUUUCACCUAUAAAGUUUAAAAUAUCUCACAUAUACCCCUUAUUAACACAAAAAAUUGUCAUUACUAUCUCUACAGUUAGUUGUGUAACUUGUGUUAGCUUUACCAUAGUUAUUAAAUGGUUAAAGAUGGAUUAGCUUUACCAUAAUUAUUAAAUGGUUAAAGAUGGGUUAACUUUUAAAAUGACUAUAUGCUGUUUUGAAACAGCGUCCUCAGCUUUUAUUUUUUUAGUUGACAUUCCAUUAACUUCUGGUAUUUUAAAAAAUUAACUAAUUUUAGUGUAUGAAAAAUGAGAAUUUUAUCGAUUUUUUUUUUUUUUUGAUGAUUUCACCAAAUCUAGUGGUUCUCUUUAUUUUUUAGCAAAUAAAUAACUAUGUAUAAAAUUUAAAUAAAAAUAAGAGUUAAGGAUUUUUUCCAUCUUUCUUUGAUCUUGGAAGCUUAAGUUUUAUUUUUAACCAAAAUUAUUCUGAAUAAUUUUAUCUGCAUUAAAUACAUUACAAAAAUAAAAUAUAAUAUAUUUUAUCUUUCAAACAAAACUCCUUUUUUUUUUUCCCAAUCGACAAAACAAUGCAUGCAUCUAUAGUCUCAGAAGACAUCUCUCUUAUCCUGUCUACUCGUGCGCAAGGUACACCAAUAACCCAUUGCUACAAAAGCCGCUUAUGUCCUCUUGCACUCUUGUAUUAAGCGCAUCUAAAAUCAUGACCAUCUUAGUCAUGCCAUAUGGGUGUGGCUAAUCCAUACCACCAUCACCACCACAACAAUAGCACAUAUACUAUAUUUAUAGCUUACAUCAAAGGCUACUGAAAUCCUAAUCCAAUUAGAUUUCUACUCUAAUUAAUAUUGAAAUCUUAAUUUAUCUUCAACAGAUUUAAAUAUUAAUCCUAAUCCAUCUAGGAUUCAACAACAAAUCUAAUCAAAUCCUAACAUUCUCCACCUUGGUUGGAUUUGUAGUCUUCAACCGCUGCAUCGAGCUCACUAUACAAACUCUAUCUUGAGCUUGUUUCCUCCGCUCGAUGUCGCCGCAUUCGCUGCCCCGCUUUGAGCGACUGCAUCUUUGCGAACUUUUAAAACCCAAAUCAUCUUCGCUCCCGUUCUGACUGUGCUCCCAUUCAGAACGUAUAAGUUCCCAAGUUGGCGCACACAACCCAAUCUCCCUUUUGGACCCCCUCAUAUGUGAGAUCCCUGGUGUUUGACCGUGGAGGCUUGUCGACAGCUCUGGAGAGUGUCGGGAUAAGCCCGAGUCGCGUUGGCGUCAAAUAGACGUAAAACGGGCUCCGUGCGACGCGAGGGCGGCUUACCGCGAAGAAUUCUGCAAACUGCAGCAUUCUCUGCUUGCUGUACCGGUACAAGCAGAGUGGCUGUACCGGUACAACCAUCGCGCAGAAGCUUAGCAACUCUCGGGUUGGCUCUUGUACCGGUACAAGAGUCCGUGUACCGGUACAAGAUGGUAGGUAGAGGGCUAAAUGUGUAAUUUUCACCCUCGUUUGUAUCACCACUCCACCUACCUUUUUAUACUGAUGUAGAGAGCAUGAGAGGAAGUUCUUUUGCUGCUCCUUUUUCCCCUCUUCACCUCUCUAGCUUGGUUUGAUCGUGGAGAAGUCCGGUUGGGGAUUUCGUCGACGACGUCGCGCCGCGAGCCGUUCGAGCGCACUUGCUGCCGGGGCUUUGCGAGGAGGCCGGGCGAGGGAGCGCCUUCACUGUUCUUGACGUCGCGCCGAGGUUCGACGUUGUCGAGGUGGGUGAUUCGGCGUCUUUUCUGGAUUUUGGGCAAGUAUUACCAUUUCUACUCGGUUAGUAGCUGUUUUGCUGAAAUCCGCCGUCGACUGUUCGUAUUUCAGCUCGUUCUCCGCGUAGGAGCGUCGGAUCGCGACGAAACUUGGUUCAUUGGAUUCUAGACUUCGAGAGGAAUCCACGAAGCCCUCAUUUGCCAGAUUUGGUAAAGGUUAGCUUGGUCGAAACUUGGUCUCUUUCAGCUGCUGUGAACUUAGGCUGAUUUGUGAUGUUUUGGUCGUUUUAGCUCGGCGACCGGUCUAGGUGGUCCCUGAGGAAUCCAGCAGCAUCGCGGGUGGCCGAGGCUGAGUUCGCUGCCAGGAAAUUGCACUUGAGGUGGGUUACAUCGGUUUUGACUCCUAAGUUCUAAUCGUCGACAUGUAUAAAUGUUGAUUGUUGCUAUAGCCUUUUCUAGCUCGAAUUCGUGGAUUUAAUUAUUGUUGGCAAUUCUGCAUUUGGAGCAUGGCAUAUUUAAAUUGAAUAGUUUCUACAUGUUGGACUUGGAAAUUGAAUUAGGAGAAAACUUGCGAUUUGGACCUGUCACCUGUAUAAACUGCCUGAUUUAGCUCUAGGAGCCGUUAUUAAAUUGUACUGUCGUUGUAUCUUCGAGGCGAGUACUCCAGGUAGUUUAGAAUAUGUUUACACUCGUGUUGGUUCGCUGAGUGGAUUUCUACAGGGUCGUACAGGUUGUUCCGGACUGUUGGGUGCCGUCAGAGUUGACGGUGGACCCGUAUCGCCUUUUUGGCGUCAGAUUGUGCCGAGGGCACGUUACCUGUUGGUUGUUAGACCAGUUUGAGUCGAUUACUUGACUUUGGCUAGUUGGAGCCUGAUUGAGCUCGACAGAGAUACGCUGCAUACUCGGUUGGGUAGCGCCCACGAGUGCCACUCCGGAGUCAGGCUUGUGCUUUUGCGUUGGUGUCGCUCAUGCCAGUUGGACUUGCUCUCCACGGACCAGUUAGAGUGGAUAGAGCGUGCUAGUCGCAACGGGGCAGGGACGGGUGUAUUCACAGUCCCGGGGACGGGUAUGCUUACAGUCCCGAUUGGAUUGGGUCAGAUUUGACAUUUCCUACAGUUGGUUAGUGUAGAGCAUGAUAGUGUAGUGGAUGAUAGCGGUAGAGUAUGCUUCCUGCUUUCCUUCUAUCCUUGCUCCCUUCUGUAGACUUAGUGGGUGACCGAUGUUGUUUUGGGCGGUACCCACUGAGGACUACUUGUUUUUACAGUAGUUCUCACGCCCAGUUGUUACCUAUGUUUUUGCAGAGCCACAGGUUCCGGCUGCUGCACCGUCUGCGGACCAGGAUCGAGGCAAGGGCGUCGCGAGUUAGAGCCCUACCCGACGUGCUGAGCUAGAGGUGCCCUACUGCAGGUAGAUGUUUUGUUUCGAGUUUAUGUACAUAGUUGACUUAACUCGCCAGUGCGAGUAGCUCUGUAUUUUGGAUCUGAACUAUGUAUAUGAAACUCUGUUUUAUUUAGCUUCAGUUUUCUCUAGCAGCUCUCUACUACUGUUCGUAGUAGUGUUUGAUUUACAGGUACAGCUAUCGCUUCGUAUACAGGGAAAAUUUCUUUGUAUACGGCGGAUUUGUCGGCGUGCCCGGGGAACGUGUAAUCCGGGGCGUGACAGAUUAAGUUGGUAUCAGAGCUUUGCUGUAGGUCGUGGGGACCUAGGAAACCUAAGUUUGGCAAACCUUAGGGAAGCAAGACGUGAGAGGCGUAAUUUAAUUGCAAAAGUCAAUGAUUAUUUGUUCUAACUCCUCUCAGAGCAGAGUGAGUGACUGAAGGAGUUCCUGUUUCGGCCUGAGAAAUUAUGUUGGCUGCAGACGACAUAAUUUUGGAGGGAAACAGGGACCGCCUUCUAGACUUUCGUUUGAUUGGGUCGAGAGUGUUUUGUUGUAUCUGACCCCGAUUUGUUCCUUUCAGCUAUGUAUCGUCGCCGAGGCCGACCGUCGUUGCGGGAGCGUGCGCAGUUGGCGCAGGAUCGUGCUAGAUCUCCCGAGGCGCAGGAUCGUGCUAGAUCUCCCGAGAUGCCUGAGCAGGCAGAGGCGAGUGUACCCCCAGUUGUAGAGCAGAGGACCCGACCGGAGGCGAGUGCAUCCCCAGAUUUGAGUGCACAGUUAGCUGCCCUGACCGAGGUGACGAGACAGCAGGGGGAGCUAUUGCAGAGGUUGUGUGAGAGGAUAGCUCAGCCACCGAGUUCUGUACCGAGGGCACCAGAGUCGCCAGUUCCACCCCCGACUACCCCAGUGACAGCACCAGCUGCAGCAGUUCCUCCAUCAGUAGCAGUUCCAGUAGCGCCAGUUGUGCCUGCUAGGGGGCCAGUACCGCUGACUGAGGCCGAGCAGGAGCGGUGGACGGAGAGGUUAGCUCGUUUUCGCCGAUUUGAUCCACCGAUUUCGAUGGCAGAGGCACUGAGGCCUGGAUUGUUGAGGGAUGGGUCAGUGCGAUGGAGAAGCUAUUCGAGGAUCUGUUCGUUCCAGGGGGGGAGCAGGUAUCCCUGGGAGUACACUGUCUAGCAGGUGAUGCUCAUGACUGGUGGCGGAGGACGAGGCGAGACCAGGGGCUAGUAGCGGCGCAGCUGAGUUGGGACGAGUUCUGUGGAAUGCUGUUUGGGAUGUUCUUUCCCAACAGUGUGAAGCAGAAGCUCGAGGAGGACUUGAGGAGGCUUCAGCAGGGAGAUCGCCCAGUGCAGGAGUACGUUCGGGAGUUUACUCGACUCCUGAACUGUGUACCAUUUGUGGCCAGAGACGAGGCGCACAGAGUAUACAUGUUCGAGCAGGGGCUGAGACCGGACAUCUUCAGGUUAGUGCGGGCGCAGAGGUCGAGGACCCUGGAUGCGUCCAUAGAGCAGGCCCUAUGGGUGGAGAGAGGUGAGGUGUCGCUGCAGGAGAGGACUCAGGCCGUGGGGCAGGGUCAGGACAGGAAGCGCCCCUUUCCAGAUGACGGAGGGCAGUCGAGCAGCAGACGUCCGCCGAGACCUCCACGAUCACGUUCUCAGGGUCGUGGGUCUUCGGGGCGUCAGCGUUCCAGGGGAUCCCGUCAGCAGGGGCAGACUCAGAGGACGCCACAGUGUGUGAUCUGCGGGGGACCACACUGGCCUCGGCAGUGCGAGCAGAGAGAGGGCAGGUGCUACGGAUGUGGUCAGCCGGGACACAUGAGGGCAGCUUGUCCCCGAGCAGCAUCUCCAGCACCGUCAUCAGCUUCGGCACCACCAGCACCACAGCAGUCUUACGGAGCAGCACCGAGCUACCGCCAGGAGGACAGAUCGUCUGUGCCGCGGUCGAGUGAGCGGCGACAGCAGGCUCCGAGUGGCAGGGUCUAUGCAGCUCAGGUGGAGGACUCUUCAGCAGCCGACCGAGUGGUGGCAGGUAUCACUUUGAUUUCUGGCAUUAGAGUUCGCACUCUUUUUGAUACCGGUGCAUCGCAUUCCUUUGUUAGCCGAGCAUUUGCAUUGUUGCAUGGUCUAGAGUUAGGAGCGUUGUCUCAGGCACGAGAGGUGCAGAUCCCCGACCAUGUCUUGCAGGUUACAGAGUGUUGUUGGUCCUGUCCGGUGCAGUUAGACUCUUGGAUCAUGCCCGCAGACCUGUUGGUGUUAGGGCAGCUGCAGGACUUCGACGUAGUGCUCGGUAUGGAUUGGCUGGCGCGGUACUAUGCUACGAUCGACUGUGGAGCGAGGACGGUGACGUUCCGCGAGCCAGGCCAGGAGGAGUUUACUUUCAGAGGCUGCAGGAGCACGCUGUUUGCCACCUGGAUAUCUUCGGCGAGGGCUCGACAGAUGCUGAGCAGUGGGUGUAUCGCUUUCCUAGCGACAGUUGUGGAGGUACCUACGGCGGCGCCGAGACUCGAGGACAUCCCAGUAGUCCGCGAGUUUUCGGAUGUGUUUCCCCCUGAGUUGACGACGUUGCCGCCGGAGAGGGAGAUUGAGUUUGUGAUUGAUGUAGUUCCUGGAACUGCACCAAUCUCAAAGGUACCUUACAGGAUGGCACCGGCAGAGCUGAGAGAGCUAAAGGCGCAACUUCAGGAUCUGAUGGAUAGAGGGUUUGUGAGACCCAGUGUGUCGCCUUGGGGAGCGCCGGUGUUAUUUGUAAAGAAGAAGGAUGGUUCGCUCAGGUUAUGUGUGGAUUACCGGGAGCUGAAUAAAGUGACCAUCAAGAACAAGUAUCCUCUGCCGCGCAUUGAUGAUCUAUUCGAUCAGCUGCAAGGAUCUUGUGUCUUUUCGAAGAUUGAUCUCCAGUCAGGUUACCACCAGCUGAGGGUGAGGGCCGAGGAUGUUCCCAAGACGGCUUUUCGGACUCGGUACGGGCAUUAUGAGUUCACGGUGAUGCCUUUUGGAUUGACGAAUGCCCCUGCCGCAUUCAUGGAUUUGAUGAACAGAGUGUUCAAGCCGUUCUUGGAUAGGUUUGUGGUAGUCUUCAUCGACGAUAUCCUGAUUUACUCCCGGAGUGAUGCUGAGCAUGAGGAGCACUUGAGGAUUGUGCUACAGCUUCUGCGCGAGAAGAAGUUGUAUGCCAAGUUAAAGAAGUGCGAAUUCUGGCUACGGGAGGUUGCUUUCUUAGGCCACGUGAUUUCAGCUGAGGGCGUAGCAGUGGACCCGAAGAAGAUUGAGGCGAUUCGAGAUUGGCCUAGACCGACGACGGUUACUGAGGUACGGAGCUUCCUGGGACUGGCAGGAUAUUACCGUCGGUUUGUGGAAGGCUUUGCGAAGCUUUCCACACCCCUCACGCGCUUGACGCGGAAGGAGAUUCGUUUUGUCUGGAGCGACGACUGUCAGAGAAGCUUUGACGAGUUGAGAUUGAGGUUGAUGUCGGCUCCUAUCCUUGCCCUUCCUGUUAUGGGCGAAGGAUUUGUGAUCUACAGUGAUGCAUCGCACAGUGGACUUGGUUGCGUGCUGAUGCAGCAUGGUAGGGUGAUUGCUUAUGCUUCACGGCAGUUAAAAGAUUAUGAGAAGAAUUACCCUACGCAUGACUUGGAGCUUGCUGUGGUGAUUUUUGCUUUGAAGCUCUGGCUGCAUUACUUGUACGGCGAGCACUGCGAGAUCUUUACUGAUCAUAAAAGUCUCAAGUAUCUGUUCACACAGAAGGAGUUGAAUUUGAGACAGCGCCGGUGGUUGGAGUUGCUGAAGGAUUAUGACAUCAGUAUCCAGUAUCAUCCCGGCAAGGCGAAUGUGGUGGCCGAUGCGUUGAGCAGGAAGGCAGUGCAGAGCUUGAGUGUGUUGAUUACUGAGCAGAGACCCCUACUCGAGGAGCUACAGCGGCUGGGACUCGAGAUAGUACCCCCUGGGUCUACGGCGAGGCUGAUGUCUCUAGUACUACUGCCCACUCUGUUGGAUAGGAUCCGAGAGAAACAGAGUGGAGAUCCGCACUUGUUGAGGAUUAAAGAGCAGCUAGACAGGGGGCAGGCUGAGGGUUUUGCUGUGGACAGUUCGGGAGCACUGCGGUACAGGGACCGACUGUGUGUACCUAUGGAUUCAGAGAUCCGAGAGGACAUCUUGAGAGAGGCUCACUGUUCACCUUAUACGGUUCACCCCGGUGGAACCAAAAUGUAUAAGGAUCUUAAGGCACAGUUCUGGUGGCCUGGAAUAAAGAGGGACAUUGGCAGAUAUGUGGCUCAGUGUUUGACUUGCCAACAGGUGAAGGCCGAGCAUCAGGUGCCUGCUGGCAAGCUUCAGAGUCUGCCAGUUCCCGAGUGGAAAUGGGAGCAGAUCACGAUGGACUUUGUUGUCGGAUUGCCGAGAGCACAGGGUGGUUUCGAUGCGAUUUGGGUCAUAGUGGACAGACUGACCAAGUCUGCUCACUUCCUACCAGUGCAGACCACUUGGUCCAGAGAGAAACUCGCUCAGUUGUAUUUGGAUGAGAUAGUGAGGUUGCAUGGAGUGCCCACUUCGAUAGUAUCCGACAGAGACCCGAGAUUCGUAUCGCAUUUCUGGAGGAGUUUGCAGACAGCCUUGGGUACACAGUUGCAGUUCAGCACAGCAUUUCACCCACAGACAGAUGGUCAGUCAGAGCGGACCAUUCAGACUCUAGAGGACAUGCUGAGGGCAUGUGUCCUGGACUUUNNNNNNNNNNNNNNNNNNNNNNNNNNNNNNNNNNNNNNNNNNNNNNNNNNNNNNNNNNNNNNNNNNNNNNNNNNNNNNNNNNNNNNNNNNNNNNNNNNNNUCUAACGGUGGAAAACUCAAUAGCACCAAAUCCUUGGUACUAUCGAUAGUACCCCAGCCGGACUAUAUAUAUAUAUAUAUAUAUAGUAGAGCUACUAUGCUAUCGGAAGCAUAAAGUAAUUGAUAUUUUUUUAGCCCUUAGAUCAAUCCCAUUGAUCAUUUCUAACUAUUGGAUUAAUAUUAUUAACCAAUGGAGACCACUCAACCCUAAGGGGACCACUAUCAUCCAACCAUAGAAUCUUUGAUCUAAGGGUUAAAAAAUCGGAAGCAUUAGCUUCCGAUAGUGUAUAUAUAUAUAUAUAUAGAUAGAGAGAGAGAGAGAGAGAGAGAGAGGGAGAGAGAGUUUUGCUAGAAUACUAUCUGUAGUAAACGGCUCGAUUUACUACCGAUUUGUUUUCGAUGAUAGAGCAUCCAAAUUGAUAAUCAACACUGUUAAACAUGAUCUAAACUAUUUAAACUAUCUGGAAAUCAAAUUUCACACAUUUUUGAUAUUGUUCUCUUGUCCAUCAAGUGAACAGAAAAAUUAAUGGCCGGAAAUGAAUAUCCUUCAAAAAGUGAUGAUACAAUUUUUCUAUUUGAGAUAUAGAGUCUAGAUCUUAUUUUUAAUAGUUUAAAGAAUUUUUUAAUAAAAAUUUAGUUGAUUUGAACUCUUCUAUACCGUUAAACGAGCAAAUGCACCAUAUCGACCAUUAAAAUUAUAUAUUUUGUGACAUUUUGAUCGUUCAGUUAGUGAUGCCAAAAAAUCAUGAAAUUUGAUUUCUAUAUAAUUUAAAUAGUCUAGAUCAUAUUCAACGGUAUCAAUCGUCGAUUUGGAAGCUCUAUCAUCGAAAAUAAAUUGAUAGUAAACCGAGCAGUUUACUACCGAUAGUAUUCUAGCAAAACUCUAUAUAUAUAUAUAUAUAGAACUAGGCUAGAAUACUUUUAGAAGCACCAACUCCUUGGUGCUUCUAAGUUUCUAACCAUUGGAUCUACUCCUUAAUUACUAAUACCCCUUGGAUCAAAUACUAUUUUACCUACCACCACCUACUACCAUCAUCUCAAUCCUAUAUCUCUCCAUUCAAGGGUUAAAAACUCAAAAGCACCACCCCUUGGUGCUUUUGAAAGUAUUCUAGCUCAACUCUCUCUCUCUCUCUCUCUCUCUCUCUCUCUCUCUCUCUCUCUAUAUAUAUAUAUAUAUAUAUAGAGAGAGAGAGAGAGAGAGAGAGAGAGAGAGAGAGUCCGGCUACUAUACUCUUAUGAGUAUAGAGCCUAUUAUACUCAUAAGUUUUUGGCCGUUAGAUCCACCCUUUAAUCAUUUUCACCCGUUAGAUUAUACUAUUCAACCAACCAUCCACUCAACAUUAGGGAGCCUACUAUCAACUUAACCGUAACCAUUUUCAUCCGAACCGCAUAUUUUUUCAUCUGAACGGUUGAAAAUUUAUGAGUACAAAGGACUCUAUACUCAUAUGAGUAUAAUAGCCCCAGCAUAUAUAUAUAUAUAUAUAUAUAUAUAUAUAGUACAUCUCUCAUGCUUUUGAAAGUACGGAGGCCUUCGUACUUGUAAGUUGUUUUCGAUGAUAGAAUAUCCGAUUCGACGAUCGACUCCGUUAGGCAUAAUCUAUGCCAUUGGAACUAUUUAGAAACCAAAUUUUAUUAUUUUUCGACAUCAUUUAGCAAGCGAUCAUAGUGUCUCAAAAAUGACUAUUUUAACGGCUGACGUGGCACGUUUUUAAGUUCAACGGUGUAGAAGUAUCCAAAUUACAUGAAACUUUAAUAGAAAAUUCUACUUAACAUCAAGAGUAAGAACAAUACUUUCGAUUUGAUAUUUGAGUCAUUUUUCACUGUUUUUUAUGUGAUUUUUAUUUUCAGCCAUUCAUUUUGAGGAUACUUGUUCACUAGGCAAACGAAGUCAAAAGAUUAUGAAAUUUGGUUUCUAAAUAGUUCUAAUAGCGUAGAUCAUGUCUAACGGAACCGAUCGUCGAAUCGAACGUCCCAUCAUCGAAAACAACUUACAAGCAUGGAGGCCUCCGUACUUUCGAAAGUAUAGGAGCCUAACUCAUAUAUAUAUAUAUAUAUAUAUAUAUAUAUAUAUAUAUAUUAGGGACGAAACUAUGUGGAGCCCAAGGUGGCCAUGGCCCCCUCAACUUUCUAUAUUUACUUAAUGGUCUUCAAAAUUUUUUUUUGGGUGGACGACCAUGGAUAGCUUUUGCCCCUCUAGUUUUUUUUAAUAUUUACUUAAUAGUAUGGUGCCAACAUGACUCUCUCUCUUUCUCCUAAUCGGUAUACUCUUUUAUGGCGUGAAACGUGAAAAUAUUAAAAGCUUCUUGCUUAUAGAGUCUUUUGUAAUAUAUUUCUCUACUCUAAAAACUUUAUUUAAUAAUUUUUAAAACUUUUAUUUAUUUUAGGUGAGCUUUUUAUUUGACUAAAUCAAGAAUUGUACUAAAUUAAUAGCUAUGUUAAUUUUAUUUGCUAAAAACUAAAAAAAAUACUGUUAGAUUUAGUAAAAUUUCUAAGUUAUUUUAAUGUUAAUAAUAUAAAUAAAAUAAUUAGAAAUAAACAUCUGAAAAUAAAAAAUUAAAGUUCAUACUUUUACAUUAUUUAUUUAAUUAAUAAUUUUUUAAUAAAAAUUUUAUAUUUAGGAAAAUUUUGUUUAUUAUUUAUUACUAAAAGUUUCUAUUUAAAUAUAUUUUGCGCCCCCCUCAAGAUGAAUCCGAGCUUCGUCCUGCUGUAUAUAUAUAUAUAUAUAAUAUAUAUAUAUAUAAUAUAUAUUAUAUAUAUAUCUAGAUUGUGCUGGUAUGCUUAUGGGCAAGCACAGGAGUGUCUGUGCUUCAAGUUGUUUUCGAUGUUCGGACUUUCGAAUCGAUGAUCGGCUCCGUUAGAGUUGAUCUAGAGUAUUUGAAGUAUCAGAAAAUAAAUUUGCAAUUUUUCGAUAUCAUUUGCCUAGUGAUCAAAGGCGGCUCAAAAUCAAUAAUUUUAAUGGCCGGUGGUGAGCCGGUUGCAAGAUUGAACGGUGUAGAAAUAUCAAAUCACGUGAAAUUUUGAUAAAAAUUCUUUAUACUAUAUAAAAUAGAUCAAUAUCUUUGAUCUAAAUUUUAUAUUGUCAUAGUCAUCACAUUUUGUUGAGAUUUUUAUUUUCAGCCGUUGAUUUUGAGCGCUUCGCAUCACUAGGCAAAUGAUAUCGAAAAAAUCGCAAAAUUUAUUUUUUACGGUACUUCAAUACUCUAGAUCAAGUCUAACGGGAGCGAAUCGUCGAUUCGAAAGUCCCAAUAUCGAAAACAAAUUGGAAGCCACGGAGCCUCUGUGCUUUCAUAAGCAUACUACCGCCACAUAUAUAUAUAUAUAUAGUAUAUUAUAUAUAUAUAUAUAUUAUAUAAUAUAUAUAAUUGAGCUCCUAUGCUUUUAAAGCACUACAGUCAUUGGUGCUUGUAAGUUCGACCUUGGAUUAAGGGUAUGUCGCGUUAGGAUGAUGUGGGACCCCUUAGGGUUGAGUGGCUGGUGUGGUUGAAUAGUAUAAUUUAACGGCGUGAAAAUGAUCAAAUGCAUAGAUCUAAUGGUAGAAAAUUUAUAAGUACCAAGUGCUUGGUGCUUUUACAAGCACCGUAGCCAGACUAUAUAUAUAUAUUAUAUAUAUAUAUAUAUAUAUAUAUAUAUAUGGCUACUAUACUAUUAUGAGUAUUGGAGCCCUCGUACUCAUAAGUUGUUUUCGAUGAUAGAGCUUCCGAAUCAACGAUCCACUCCAUAAAUUUUCGAAAUCAUAAUAAAGUCCAUCAGGUGGGCAUAAAAUAAACGGUCAAAAUCAAAUGACGUCCUAAAAAAGGAUGAUCAGAUCCUUCAUUUUAAGAUCAGAGUUAUUGAUCUUUAUCUAUGUAGUGAAUAGAAUUUUCUACAAAAAUUCAACAAAUUUCGAUUCUUUAACACCGUUAAACUAGCAAGUACCCCAUACCGGCUGUUAAAAAUUAUCAAAUUUGUGACCUCUUGAUCGUGAGGUAAAUGAUGUCGAAAAAUUAUAAAAUUUGAUUUCUAGAAGUUUUAAAUACUGUAAAUAGUGUUUAACUGUAUGGAUCGUUGAUUCGGAAGCUCUAUCAUCGAAAACAACUUAUGAGCACGAGGGCGAUCGUACUCAUAAUAGUAUAGUAGCCGGACCCUAUAUAUAUAUAUAUAUAUAUAUAUAUAUAUAUAUAUACAUAUAAUUAGGCUACUAUACUAUCUAUAGUACCGGAGCUCCAGUAUUAUUGUCUUGUUUUCGAUUUUAGGGUGUUCAAAUUAACGAUCUAUACCGUUAAAUAUGAUCUAGGGUUUAUGAAGUUCUUAGGAAUAAAAUUUUAGUUUUUUUCGAUAUCGUUUACUUAGCAAAUAAAUUAUGUCAAAAUGAACGGUUGAAAUUGAAUAAUCUUUAAAAUUUGAGUAUAGUACUUUUAAAUUCAAGAUCAAGAAUGUUAACCUUAAUCUAGAUAGUUUAAAGUAUUUUAUAUCAAAAUUUAAAUAAAUUUAGAUUUUCUACACCGUUAAACUCCAAACUCGUCAUAGUAGUUAUUGAAAAUUGGCAAUUUUGAAAUAGUUUGAUCAUAAAGUAAACUAUGUCGAAAAAAUAUAUAAUUUUAUUUCUAAAAACUUUAAAUACCAUAGAUCAGUUUUAACGGUGUGGAUCUUUGAUUUGAACACCCUAAGAUCGAAAACGAGACUAUAGAGUACCGGAGCCCUAGUACUAUAGAUAAUAUAGAAGACUAGAUAUAUAUAUAUAUAUAUAUAUAGAGUCCGGCUACUAUGCUAUUAAUAGCACGAAGCAUUUUGUGCUACCAAGUUUUUCGCCGUUAGAUCUAUCCUUUGGAUCAUUUUUACCCGUUAGAUCAUACUAUUCAACCAACCACCCACUCAACCAUAGGGGGCCUACAUCAUUCUAACCACACAUCUCUUAAUCCAAUGGCCAAAAACUUGGUAGCACCAACGACUUGGUGCUAUUAAUAGCUUAGUAGCCUAAUUCUAUAUAUAUAUAUAUAUAUAUAUAUAUAUAUAUAUAUAUAUAUAGAGUUAGGCUGGUAUACUAUCGGUAGCACGGAGUUCUCCGUGCUACCAAGUUGUUUUCAAUGAUGCGGCUUUCAAAUCGACGAUCGGCUCCGUUAGACUUGAUCUACACUAUUAAAAGUAUUUGAAAACUAAAUUUCAUAAUUUUUCGACAUCAUUUGGCUAGUGAUCAAAAGGUUCCAAAAUUAACAAUUUUAAUGGUAGAUAUGAUGCGUUUUUAAGUUCAAUGGUGUAGAAGUAUCCAAAUUAGAUGAAAAUUUAAUAGAAAAUUCUACUUAACAUCAAUAGCAAGACCAAUACUUCCGAUUUGAAAUUUGAAUUCUUUAUCAUUGUUUUUUAUGAGAUUUUUAUUUUCAGCCGUUCAUUUUUAGACUAUUCGUUUGAUUGGUAAAUGACGCCCAAAAAUUAUGAAAUUUAGUUUCCAAGUACUUUCAAUAGUGUAGAUCAAGUCUAAUGGAGCCGAUCGUCGAUUUAGAAGCCGCAUCAUUGAAAACAACUUGGUAGCACGGAGGCCUCCGUGCUACCGAUAGUAUACCAGCCUAGCUCUAUAUAUAUAUAUAUAUAUAUAUAUAUAUAUCCGGCUACUAUACUCUUAUGAGUAUGGUAUAUAUAUAUAUAUAUAUAUAUAUAUAUAUAAUAUAUAAUAAUAUAUAUAUAUAUAUAUUUCAACCCCCUCUCUCCAGGUGGGGUGGGGUCACCUGGAGAGAGAGCGCCAGGUGCUCCACCCCACGCGGAGCCAGGUGCUCCACCCCACGCGGAGCACCUGGCGCGUCCAAGUGUGGAGAGGGUUGCAGCGCCUUUUACCAAAAACAAAGGGCGUGCAAAGCUCGUCUUUUGUUUUUAGAGGCAAAAGGAGUCUAAAUAUUUUUUUUCAAAAAGCUUUUUUUAAAAAUAUCUGUUUGUUUGCGAGCUUUAGUAUGAAAAGUUAACUUUUAAACAAAAGGGUGGCUAAAAUGUCUCUUGGUUUGUCGGGGAAUGGUAGUUUACUCUUCACAUUUUACUUCUUAGAAUAACGUAUUGAUACCUGAGUUUUAGUGAAGAUAUUUNGACUUUUCGAUAUUAUUUACCUAAUGAUCUAAAGGGUUCAAAAUCAACGGUUGAAAAUAAAAAUCUCAAAAAAAAGUUAUGACAUAGCGUUAAAAUUUUCGAUCAAACAUAUUGAUCUUACUGUAAAUAGUAUAAAGAAUUUUCUAUCAAAAUUUCAUCUGAUUAUAUAAUUGAGCUCCUAUGCUUUUAAAAGUAUCAAGUUAUUAGUGUUUAUAGAUUUUUGGUCAUUGGAUUAAGGGAUGUAUGGUUAAGAUGAUGUGAGACCCCUAAGGUUGAGUGGGUGGUUGGUUGAAUAAUAUGAUCUAAUGUGUGGAAAUGAUCAAAAGGGUAGAUCUAACGGUAAAAAAUUUGCAAGCACCAUAACCGGACUAUAUAUAUAUAUAUAUAUAUAUAGAGUGCGGCUAGGAUGCUUAUGGAAGCACGGGGCUCCGUGCUUCCACUUUGUUUUCGAUGUUCGGACUUCGAAUCGACGAUCGGCUCCGUUAGACUUGAUCUAGAGUAUUUGAAGUAUCUAGAAAAUAAAUUUUGAGAUUUUUCGAUAUCAUUUCCCUAGUGAUCGAAGUGGCUCAAAAUCAACGGCUGAAAAUAAAAAUCUUACAAAAUAUGAUGAUAUGACAUUAAAAUUUUAGAUCAAAGUUAUUGAUCUUGUUUUAUAUGGUACAAAGAAUUUUCUAUCAAAAUUUCAUGUUAUUUGAAUAUUUCUACACCGUUAAAUUUGCAACCGGCUCACCACGGCCGUUAAAAUUAUUGAUUUUGAGCCCCUUCAAUCACUAGGUAAAUGAUAUCGAAAAAUCGCAAAAUUUAUUUUCUAGGUACUUCAAAUACUCUAGAUCAAGUCUAACGGAGGCGAUCGUCGAUUCGAAUGUCCGAACGUCGAAAACGACUUGGAAGCACGGAGGCCUCCGCCUCCGUGCUUCCAUAAGCAUACCAGCCCACAACGGGCAUAAAUGCUCUAGAAAAAUUUCAAAAUUUUUCGAUUUUGACCGUUCAUUUUAUACCGGCUUGAUGAACUUUAUUAUGAUUUCGAAAAAUUACAAAAUUUAUUUUCUACAAGUUUUAAAGACUCUAGAUCAAAUUUAACGGAGUGGAUCGUCGAUUCAGAAGCUCCAUCAUUGAAAAUAAUUUACGAGUAUGAAGGGCUUUAUACUCAUAAAAGUGUAGUAGUCCUAACAUAUAUAUAUAUAUAUAUAUAUAUAUAUAGAGAGAGAGAGAGAGAGAGAGAGAGAGAGAGAGAGAGAGAGAGAGAGAGUGGGCUGGUAUGCUUAUGGAAGCACGGAGCCCUCCGUGCUUCUAAGUUGUUUUCAAUGUUCGGACUUUUGAAUCGACGAUCGGCUUUGUUAGAGUUGAUCUAGAGUAUUUGAAGUACCUAGAAAAUAAAUUUUGUGAUUUUUCGAUAUCAUUUGCCUAGUGAUCGAAGGGGUUCAAAAUCAAUAAUUUUAAUGGCCGUGGUGAGCCGGUUGCAAGUUUAACGGUGUAGAAAUAUCCAAAUCACAUGAAAUUUUGAUAGAAAAUUCUUUAUACCAUAUAAAACAAGAUCAAUAACUUUGAUCUAAAAUUUUAAUGUCAUAUCAUCAUAUUUUGUAAGAUUUUUAUUUUCAGCCGUUGAUUUUGAGCCACUUCGAUCACUAGGCAAAUGAUAUCGAAAAAUCGCAAAAUUUAUUUUCUAGAUAAUUCAAAUACUCUAGAUCAAGUCUAACGAGGCGAUCGUCGAUUCGAAGUCCGAACAUCGAAAACCAAAGGAAGCACGGAGCCUCCGUGCUUCCAAAGCAUCCAAGCCGCACUAUAUAAUAUAUAUAUAUAUAGUAUAUAUAUAUAUUAUAUAAGAGAGAGAGAGAAAGAAGAGAGAUAGAGAGAGAGAGAGAAGAGAGAGGAGUGUUUGUGUAAGGAAGUAAUCUCGAAUCCGAGAAUUGUACUUCGUCCAGAUCGAUGAUAGUCGAGAGAAUACCCUUUGGGGAGUUAAGAAUGCCCAAAACACAAAAGAUGCUUUGGAGUUGAGUCCAGCGAGAGCAAAUGGUGCAAACUGGCCUCAUUGGCUAGAGAUUACUCUCGGACGGUCUCUGGAGGUGAGAGACCGGUUCCCCUGGCUGGGUGUAGUGGGGUUGCGUGAUGCAACCGGUCCCUGGCAGGGAGGGACCGGUUCACCGAACGGUCCACCAGCGAGAAUGCCAAAAAUUGGCUAAAGUCCUGAAAAAUGGAGCUCUCGGGGACGGUCUCUCAGGGCGAAACGGUCUCCUCCGAGGACCGGUCUCGUCCCGGGGAGAGACGGUUCCGAACGCGAAACGUCCCCAGACUGCAUAUAGCUCCAUUCCUUAUGUUUUCUAAUUGAUAACCUAGUGUACUUGGAACGCUUGGCUAAUUUAGAUAGGUGAGGAUUGGGUCGAGACGUGAAUCCUAUCGUGCGAAAGAAAGAGAUGAACCGCGAUGGGGGAUUGAUGAACAGGAAGUAGUGGAUAGUGUUAAAGACACGAGUGGCAUCCGAAUGAUAAAUGAUGACGAGUGGCAUUAAUGUAGUGUAAUAACACUAGAGGUCGAUGGACUAGGGAAAGGUGGAUCCCUUAGAAAAUGCCUUGAACAAUGAAUUUAGGAAACUAAAUAGCAAUUGAAUAUGUCGGGAACCGAUGAUUCCGCAUAGUCAUUGACCCAGUGUAGGGCUCCUCACUUAGAGAGGAUUCGAUUGGAUUAUUGACUCUAGUGUGUAGAGCCCUCACUUGGAGAGGAUUGGAUUGGGUGUUGACCCUAGUUACAGGUAUCCUCACAUGAGAGUAGGAUAGAUCUAGCUCACAGUCUGCCGUUAGGGUGGCAUAGCCAUCCGAUCCCCACAUAGAGGGAUUGUCGUCGAGUACUCCGGGUGUCGCGCGACUAGACCACUUGGAGGAUCGGGCCACAUGGAGAGUCCGUAGACGGUCCCUGGCCUGGAGUGCAUUGGAGCUCCCUCCCACUUUGGGAUUGAAAGAUGAGUUAUGGGCGAGCCCUCGGCCUCACCACAGAUUGCGGUAAAAUGAAAGGUUAAAGUGAAAUAUUCAUUGAACAUAGCCAUGUCGAACAUGGAUCGAAUUUGUUAGCAUGAUAGCAAACUUUAUCUUAUGAUGCAGCAUUCAUACUUAUGAUUAUGGGCAUCAGUAGCAUAAGUUUUUCCUACUUAUUGCAUUUACAGCUUUUAGAUACAUAUCUAUCUAGUCUAUCGCUGUUGUAGUUACUUUGUCCCACUUGGGACCUAGUGCGAGAUCUGGCAGAGGUCGCGGCCGAGCCCACUGGGAACUAUGAAGAAUCAGUUGCUCAACAGCCCACUUUAUUCCACAUGGUAGGUUUCAAGGGCUGCCAGAGACGAGGAACCGGGCAAGGGCCAUCGCGCCGAUUAGUGAUGGCUGUGGUAGUAAUACGUUACGCUUUCCUUUUUCAUUAGUAAAUAUAUAUUGAGAGAGCAUUCUAUGUAGGUGGGGUUGGAGAGUAUGUAUUUGAGGAUCAAAUGUAUUCUUUGGAAAAAUGAUGUAAAUGUAAGAGAAAUGCAACUAUUGUAAUAGUUAGUAAAGUACUUUCUUUAUUUCACUCGUAUAUCUUGUGGAUUACUUGCUCUUCUUGUUGUUGGCACUGUUUGUGCCCUCGUUGAUUGUGUAUGGUUAGAAUUUAAAGUCCUGGGUAAAUUCUUGUACACAUUCCUGUUAUUGAGCCUUGGGCGGACUGGGGAGGUGCUGUCCGUUCGGUGGUCCGUCGCCGCGGCCGAAUCGUGCCAAAUUGGUAGUGGUUUCGGGGCGGGGCGUGACAGUCUUUUGUGGUAUCAGAGCAAUAAGAGCAAGUAAAGAGAGUCUAGGAUGACCUAGGAGACCCUAGGUUGGUAAGCCCUAAGGUCAUAGGUGCGUGAGCGGAACGUGAACCUAUAGCAAUGGCGGAAGUUAAUUCGAUUGGGUCGAAGGUGUGAUAGGUCUCUACUAGAGGCUAGAGAUGGAUUCAAAUAGUAGGAGUUCUUGUCUUGAGGUGGUUGUGUCGGCGGCUGACGACAUGAUGCCAAGAGCCUAGAACGAGUACACUUGUGUGCUUCCGCUCGAUUGUGUUGAUGAAUUAUCUUGUGUCGUAAUCGCAACGAGGUAAUUGGUUAAGAGGACUGACCAAGUAUUUGCGUUUCAGGGACUGAUGUCUCCAAGACGCUACACACGUAGGACUGCCCCAGCACCGAUUCCUGAGGUGCCCGAGCAGGAGGAACCGAGCGUGAUCGAUCGGUUGCAAGCGCAAGUGACCGCGCUGACCGACGUGGUGUAGCGCCAGGAGACUCGAUUCGAGCGGCUCCAGGAUCUAUUGGAGCGGUAGAUCGCGGCGGCGGCUGUGACGGUAAAUGAAGGCGGUGGUCCGCCCGCACCCUCGACUCAUAUACCUAGAGCGGCAGAGGGUGAGGGCAUAGCGGCGGUUCCGGUGACGGCACGCCCGCCGCCAGCGAUCGUACCACAGGCGGCAUCGAGAUCGGCUACGCCCGAUGUGUCGGCUGAAGACGUGGAGGGAGAACGCGCAUUGGCGGCUCUUAUCAAGUUCAACAAGUUCCAUCCGCCAACUUUUGAGGGCGAGAAGGUGGAACCGGAGAUGGUCGACUCUUGGAUCGACUCGAUGGAAACCCUCUUCGACGACUUGCGUACCUUGGAGAGGGACAAAGUGUACCUCGCCACCCAUUGCUUGGAGAAGGCGGCGAAGGUUUGGUGGAAGCGCGUUAAGCGGGAUCGGCUUCCCGGCCUUCCGCCGAUGUUAUGGGAGGAAUUUAAGCGGGAGAUGUUCGCCAACUAUUUUUCCGACACAUUGAAGCGGAAGCUCAAGGAGAAGUUCCGCAAGCUAGAGCAAGGGGACCGCUCCGUGGCGGAGUACGAACAGGAAUUCUCCCACAUCAUAGAUUGCGUCCCGGAUGUUGUCAAGGAUGAUCGGGGCCGGGCCGAGUGGUUCUUGCGAGGACUUCGGCCGGGAAUCUACAAGGCCGUGCAAAUACUUAAGCUCACGACCUUUGCUGAGGUCUUUGAUCGAGCCCUAUGGGCAGAGCACGGAGAUGCCCACGUUCGGGAGAAGCGUGAGCUUUUGGUGGAGUCUAAGGACAAGGGCAAGAAACGCCAAGGCGGCGGUAGUUCGGGUUGUCAAACACGUUAUAAGAAACCCCCAAAGUAUCCGCGCACCCAACAGAAGGGCGGUGGAGCGCGGCGAUGCAUUGUAUGCGGCGGAGAUCACCCGGUCUCGCGCUGUGAACAAGGCCGAGGCAAGUGCUACAAGUGUGGGCAGCCGGGGCACUUCAUUCGGGAUUGCCCGGGAGGAGGAGCCUCACCUGCCCUAUCGAUUGCAUCGGCGCCGGCGGUUCCGGCAUAUUAUCGAGGAGCUCCACCGACGGCCGCGUCGACAGGACGCGCGAUGACGCCGCGUCAACCUGAGAUGGCACGAUCGGCCUCGAGCGGACGGGUAUUUGCCGCUCAGGUCCAGGCUGAGGAACCUGCGAAGGCGGAGGAGCAUCGCCUUGUGGCAGGUAUGGUUUUAAUUAACGGAGUUCGCUCCAGGGCUUUAUUUGAUACAGGAGCCACGCACUCAUUCAUAAGUAGAUCAUUCGCACGCAUGCAUGACAUUCUCAUAGAAGCGAGUGACAAGUGGCGAGUAGAGGGCCCUGGGUCGACGUUUAACACUUACUCGGAGUGUGCGUCAUGUCCCGUACAAAUAGGCGACUGGAUUAUGCCUAUCCGGACACUGGAACUCCAGAAGCUUGAGGCUUUUGAUAUUAUUCUGGGCAUGGACUGGCUCUCGAAGUAUCACGCAACGAUCGACUGCAAGAGCAGGGUGAUCACGUUCCGUGAGCCAGGACAAGAAGAAUUCACCUAUCGAGCUUGCCAGAGCUCGUGCUUCGUCGCGACGGUGUCGAUGACAAGGGCAAGAAAGUUGGUGAGCAACGGUUGUGCGGCGUUCUUGGCAACCGUUGUAGAAGUGGAUCGAGUAACUCCCACGUUGGAGGAGAUAUCGGUGGUGCAGGAGUUCCCGGACGUGUUUCCUACGGAGUUGCCGGGGAUACCACCGGAUCGGGAGAUGGAGUUCGUCGUAGACUUGGUUCCCGGUACCGCACCGAUCUCGAAGGCUCCGUACCGAAUGGCGCCGGCGGAACUGAAGGAGUUGAGGAGUCAACUGCAAGACCUCCUCGACAAGCAAUUUAUCCGGCCAAGUGUAUCAUCGUGGGGAGCCCCGGUGUUAUUUGUACGGAAGAAAGACGGAUCGUUCUGACUCUGUGUGGAUUAUCGAGAAUUAAACAGAGUAACGAUCAAGAACAAGUACCCACUACCCCGAAUCGAUGACCUGUUCGAUCAGUUGUAAGGGUCGUGUGUGUACUCAAAGAUAGAUUUGCAAUCCGGCUAUCACCAAUUGAAAAUCAAGCCGGAGGAUGUGCAGAAGACCGCGUUUCGUAUGCGGUAUGGACACUAUAAAUUCACGGUCAUGCCCUUUGGACUCACGAAUGCUCCAGUGGCAUUUAUGGACUUGAUGAACCGUGUCUUCAAAAAGUAUUUGGAUCGAUUCGUCGUGGUUUUCAUAGACGACAUAUUGGUCUAUUCCCGUAGCGACGAGGAACAUGCCGAGCAUUUGAGAAUAGUGCUUCAAGUCCUCCGGGAGGAGAAGCUAUAUGCUAAGUUGAAGAAGUGUGACUUCUGGCUCCGAGAAGUCGCAUUUCUAGGGCAUGUAAUUUCCGUGGGUGGAGUUUCUGUAGACCCGAGGAAAGUUGAGGCAAUCAAGGAUUGGCCGCGCCCGACGAAUGUCACGGAGGUUCGAAGCUUCGUGGGCUUAGCGGGCUAUUAUAGGCGGUUUGUGGUAGGCUUUUCAAAGAUAGUAAUUCCACUUACUCGUCUGACCCAAAAAGGCACCAAGUUUGUUUGGAGCGAAGAAUGUGACCGGAGUUUCAAAGAGUUGAAGCAAAGACUGACUUCAACUCCGGUGCUCGCUCUACCGGUGCAGGGCGAAGGCUUCGUAGUCUACAGUGAUGCCUCCUAUCUUGGAUUGGGGUGUGCAUUGAUGCAAAACGGGAAGGUCAUCGCCUACGCCUCCCGUCAGCUGAAAAGCUAUGAGAAGAACUACCCCAUCCAUGAUUUGGAGCUAGCGGCGGUGAUUUUCGCCUUAAAGCUGUGGAGGCACUAUUUAUAUGGUGCCCAGUGUGAGAUCUAUACCGACCACAAGAGCUUAAAGUACUUGUUUACUCAGAAGGAGCUCAAUAUGCGUCAGCGACGGUGGUUGGAGCUGUUAAAGGAUUAUGAUGUCGAUAUCCUCUACCACCCUGGGAAGGCAAAUGUGGUCGCAGAUGCACUGAGUAGGAAGUCGGCGAAGAAUCUCGCUUUUGAUAUUACCCAGCAAACACCCCUAUGGCGGGAUAUGAAACAACUGGAUCUCGAAGUGGUUCCUCCCGAGAUUCCAGCCUAGUUGAUGGCACUCGUUGUCCAACCGACCUUGUUGGAGAGGAUCAAGGAUCUGCAACCUGCGGACCCAGAACUCCAGAAGGUGCGGCGAAACAUCGAGGAUGGUCGAGGCCGCGAUUUCAGUAUAAACGCCGAUGGUGUGCUUCGGUUUAGAAACCGAUGGUGUGUGCCGAAAGAUGGAGAGCUUCGCGAAUUGAUUCUACGAGAAGCACACAGAUCUCCGUAUGCUGAUCACCCGGGCGGCACCAAGAUGUAUCGAGGAUUGAAAAUGCACUAUUGGUGGCCGAAAAUGAAGGGUGAUAUUGGGCGCUUUGUGGCGAAGUGCUUAACGUGCCAGUAAGUGAAAGCAGAGCGUCGAUUUCCAGCGGGAAAGCUUCAAAGCCUACCAAUCCCCGUUUGGAAAUGGGAGGAUAUAUCGAUGGACUUCGUGGUCGGCUUGCCUCGCUCAACGGGCGGCCACGAUGCAAUUUGGGUAAUUGCGGACCGAUUGACGAAGUCAGCUCACUUCUUGCCGAUCCACACCACGUGGUCGGGUGACAAGUUAGCGCAGGUAUAUCUCGACGAGAUAGUGAGACUUCAUGGGGUGCCCAAAUCGAUCGUAUCGGAUCGUGACCCUCGGUUCACUUCACACUUUUGGAAAGGCCUGCAAGAAGCUCUUGGCACACGGCUCGAUUUUAGCACCGCAUUUCAUCCCCAGACCGAUGGGCAAACGGAGAGAACCAUUCAAACUCUGGAGGAUAUGUUGCGAGCGUGUGUCGUCGACUAUAAGGGAAGUUGGUGUGACCACCUACCCAUGGCCGAGUUCGCCUACAACAAUAGUUAUCAUGCUAGUGUGGAGAUGGCACCGUUCGAGGCUCUUUAUGGGCGGACGUGUCGGCCUCCUAUACACUAGAGCGAUAUAGGCGAGCGUGCGGAGUUCGGCCCUGAUGUGUUGCGAGAAGCGGAGGAGAAAGUCCGCCUUGCUCGCAAGAGAUUGCUCACGGCGCAGUAGAGACAGCAAAGCUAUGCAGAUAGGCGCCGUCGAGAUAUAGAGUUCGCGGUGGGUGACCGCGUAUUCCUAAAGUUUUCACCAAUGCGGGGUGUGAAGCGGUUUGGAGUACGGGGAAAGCUGAGUCCCCGAUACAUUGGGCCAUAUGAGAUAUUGGAGCGAGUCGGCACAGUGGCAUAUCAACUUGCUUUGCCGCCGAAACUUGCGGAUGUGCACAAUGUGUUCCAUGUCUCCAAUCUCCGCAAGUACAUUCACGACCCCGAGCACGCAAUGCUAUAUGAGCCGCCGGAACUUCAAGAAGACUUGAGCUAUGAAGAGUUUCCGGUGAGUGUUAUCGCCCGAGAAGUGCAAAAGCUAAGGAAUCGAGAAAUCCGCUAUGUGAAAAUUCGGUGGAGCAAUCACGAUGAUCGCGAGGCCACCUGGGAACUCGAGGAGCUGAUGAGAAAACACCAUCCUCAUCUGUUUGAGGAGUGAGGUAUGAGUUUAAAUUAAAGUUAGGAAAUUUGUUCGUUGCGAGGACGAAACUCCUUUUAAGGAGGGGAGGAUGUAAGAAAGUGAAUUCUCGAAAUCCGAGGAUUGUACUUCGUCCAGGAUCGACUGAUUGUCGAGAGAAUACCCUUUGUGGGAGUUAAGAAUGCCCAAAACACAAAAAGUGCUUUGGAGUUGAGUCCGCGAGAGCAAAUGGUGCAAACUGCAUCAUUGGGCUAAGAUUACUCUCGGGGACCGGUCUCUGGAGGUGAGAGACCGGUUCCCCUGGCUGGGUGUAGUGGGGUUGCGUGAUGCAACCGGUCCCUGGCAGGGAGGGACCGGUUCUCGAACGUGGUCCCAGCGAGAAUUGCCAAAAAUUGGCUAAGUCCUGAAAAAUCGAGCUCUCGGGGACCGGUCUCUCAGGCGAAGACCGGUCUCCCGAGGACCGGUCUCCUGGGGAGAGAUCGGUUCCCGAACGUGAAAAGUCCCCAGACUGCAGGGAGAGCUCUCGGGGACCGGUCUCCCCGACCAGGGACCGGUCCCUCUGCGCGAAAACUGCCCAGUGAGGGCUGUGCAAUAGAUGAAAAAUUGAGGGGUCUAAAUGCAAAAUGGCAUUUAUUAGAGUGGGCUGAGCCCUCUCUCUCCCUCACACCCUCUCACUUUCUCUCUCUCCCUCACUCUCAUUUCUCUCUUGCUCCCUCUCUCUCUCUAGAAAGGAAAAGAAGGAGAAGAAGAACAAGAAGGAGAGGAAGGAAAAGAAGAGGAAGAUAAGGAAGGAGAAGAAGGAGAUCAAGAGGAAGGCUUUGAGCACCUCCAUCUCCCUCUCCUCUUCCCAUUGGUGUAGCUCUUGAGGUAGGCUACUAAACCCUAACUUUGUAAACUUAGGGUUUUUGGGUUUUUAUGCUUGGGAAUGGGUCAAAUGGACCCCAAGCAUGCUUCUAAGUUGAUCAAUCUCAUGAAUCUAGGGUUUUAUGAGUGGGUUGCUAUAUGUGCAACCUAGGGCUCCAAAUGGGGGCAUUUUGUAAAGUAUGAGAUUGAUCUCAUUUGAGGCCUUGUAAACCUCAUCGAUAGGUGCCCAGACGUGGGGGCGAAGUCGAUUUCGCGAUUCGUCGAGCGGGCUUAGAGCAAUCGGCGAAUUGCGGUCGUUUCGGCGUUACCUUGGACCAAGGAGGGCUAAAGCCUUUUCGCAAAGCUCGCCGGGGAGCGUUUCUAGAGCCUCUACGUUGGUAAAAGGUGGGGGGUGUCAUCCGAAACUUUCGAACUCCUUUCUAUGUCUUAGAUUGCAUUUAAUCCCAUCUCUUCAUGUUGCAUUGUAGGAUUGCAUAGUAGCUCCAUUCCUUAUGCUUUCUAAUUGAUAACCGUGUACUUGGAACGCUUGGUAAUUUAGAUAGGUGAGGAUUGCGGUCGAGACGUGAAUCCUAUGGUGCGAAAGAAAAGAAAUGAACCCAAUGGGGGUAUUGACUACAUAGGAAGUAGUGGAUAGUGUUAAAGACACGAGUGACAUCUCCGAAUGAUAAAUUGAUGACGAAUGGCAUUAAUGUAGUGUAAAUAACAUAAGGAGGUCGAUGGACUAGGAUAGGUGAAUCCCUUAGAAAAUGCCUUGUAAACAAUGAAUUUGAGAAACUAAAUAGCAUUGAAUGAAUGUCGGGAACCGAUGAUCCGCGAUAGUCAUUGACCCUAUGUUAGGCGUCCCUCACUGGAGAGGAUUCGAUUGGAUUAUAUGACUCUAGUUGUGAGGCCUCCUCACUUGGAGAGAUUGGAUUAGGUGUUGACCCUAGUUACAGUGUAUCCUCACAUGGAGAGGUAGAUUUAGUUCACAGUCUGCGUCUAGGGUGGCAUAGCCAUCCGAUCCCACAUGGAGGGGUUGUCGUCGAGUACUCCAGAGUGUCGCGCGACUAGGACCAUUGGAAGUACCGGACCACAUGGAAGUCCGUAGACGGUCCCGGGCCUGGGUGCACUUGGAAGCUCCCUCCCCUUGGAAUUGAAAGAUGGAUGUAUGCGCGACCCUAGCCUCGCACAGAGUUGGGUAAUGAAAGGUUAAAGAGUUAAUAAAUGUCAUUGAACAUGGCCAUUCGACAUGGAUCGAAUUUGUAGCAUGAUAGCAACCUUUAUCUUUAUGAUGCAUGCGAUUCAUACUUAUGAUUUAUGGGCCAUAGUAGCAUAAUUUUUUACCUAUCGCAUUUACAGCUUUUAGAUACAUAUCUAUCUAUCUAUCUGUUGUUACUUGUGCCCACUUGGACCUAGUGGGGAGAUCGGCAGAGUCGGCGGCCGAGCCCACUGGGAACUAUGGAAGAUAGUUCUCACCCCACGCUAUUUCCAGUGGUAGGUUCAGGGCUGCAGAGAGAGGACCGCGGCAAGGGCAUCGCGCCCGAUCAGUGAGGCCGUGGUAGUAUAGUAGCUUUCCUUUUGCAUUAGUACACCUAUGUAUUGAGAGAGAUUCAUGUAGGUAAGGUUGGAGAGCUAUGUAUUUUGAGGAUCAAAUGUAUUCAUUUUGGAAAAUGAUGUAAAUAUAGAGAAUGCAACUAUUGUAAGAGUUAGUAAAGUACUCUCUUUAUUUCACUCGUAUAUCUUAUGGAUUACUUGCUCUUCUUGUUGUUGGCACUGUUUGUGCCCUCGUUGAUUGUGUAUGGUUAGAAUUUAAAGUCCUGGGUAAAUUCUUGUACACAUUCCUGUUGUUGAGCCUUGGGCAGACAGGGGAGGUGCUGUCCGUUCGGCGGUCCGUCGCCGCGGCCGAAUCGUGCCAAAUUGGUAGUGGUUUCAGGGCGGGGCGUGACAGAGAGAGAGAGAGAGAGAGAAAGAGAGAGUCCGGCUACUAUACUAUUAUGAGUACCAUCGCCCUCGUACUCAUAAGUUAUUUUCGAUGAUAGAGCUUCCGAAUCGACGAUCCACACCGUUAAACGUUAUCUAGAGUAUUUGAAACAUCUAGAAAUCAAAUUUCCUAAUUUUUCUACAUCAUUUACCUUACGAUCAAAAGGUCACAAAAUUGAUAAUUUUUAACGGCCGGUAUGGAAUACUUGCUAGUUUAAUGGUGCAAAAGAAUCCGAAUAGGUUGAAUUUUUGAUAGAAAAUUCUAUUCACUACCUAGAUAAAGAUCAAUAACUCUGAUCUUAAAUUGAAGGAUCCGAUCAUUCAUUUUUAAGACAUCUUUCGAUUUUGACCGUUCAUUUUAUGCCCGCUUGAUGUACUUUAUUAUGAUUUCGAAAAAUUACGAAAUUUAUUUUCUAGAAGUUUCAAAUACUCUAGAUCAUAUUUAACGGAGUGGAUCGUCGAUUCGAAAGCUCGAUCAUCGGAAACAACUUAUGAGUACGAAGGGCCCAAUACUCAUAAUAGUAUAGUAGCCCUACUCUAUAUAUAUAUAUAUAUAUAUAUAUAUAUAUGUAUAUAUAGGGCUACUAUAUUUUAUGAGUACAGACUCCUUUGUAUUUAUAAAUUUUCGACCGUCCGAUUAAGAGAUGUGCGGUUAGAAUGAUAGUGGUCCCUAGGAUUGAAUGGGUGGUUGGUUGAAUAGUAUGAUAUAACGUGUGAGAUCCCUGGUGUUUGACUGUGGAGGCUUGUCGACAGCUCUGGAGAGUGUCGGGAUAAGCCCGAGUCGCGUUGGCGUCAAAUAGACGUAAAACGGGCUCCGUGCGACGCGAGGGCGGCUUACCGCGAAGAAUUCUGCAAACUGCAGCAUUCUCUGCUUGCUGUACCGGUACAAGCAGAGUGGCUGUACCGGUACAACCAUCGCGCAGAAGCUUAGCAGCUCUCGGGUUGGCUCUUGUACCGGUACAAGAGUCCGUGUACCGGUACAAGAUGGUAGGUAGAGGGCUAAAUGUGUAAUUUUCACCCUCGUUUGUAUCACCACUCCACCUACCUUUUUAUACUGAUGUAGAGAGCAUGAGAGGAAGUUCUUUUGCUGCUCCUUUUUCCCCUCUUCACCUCUCUAGCUUGGUUUGAUCGUGGAGAAGUCCGGUUGGGGAUUUCGUCGACGACGUCGCGCCGCGAGCCGUUCGAGCGCACUUGCUGCCGGGGCUUUGCGAGGAGGCCGGGCGAGGGAGCGCCUUCACUGUUCUUGACGUCGCGCCGAGGUUCGACGUUGUCGAGGUGGGUGAUUCGGCGUCUUUUCUGGAUUUUGGGCAAGUAUUACCAUUUCUACUCGGUUAGUAGCUGUUUUGCUGAAAUCCGCCGUCGACUAUUCGUAUUUCAGCUCGUUCUCCGCGUAGGAGCGUCGGAUCGCGACGAAACUUGGUUCAUUGGAUUCUAGAAUUCGAGAGGAAUCCACGAAGCCCUCAUUUGCCAGAUUUGGUAAAGGUUAGCUUGGUCGAAACUUGGUCUCUUUCAGCUGCUGUGAACUUAGGCUGAUUUGUGAUGUUUUGGUCGUUUUAGCUCGGCGACCGGUCUAGGUGGUCCCUGAGGAAUCCAGCAGCAUCGCGGGUGGCCGAGGCUGAGUUCGCUGCCAGGAAAUUGCACUUGAGGUGGGUUACAUCGGUUUUGACUCCUAAGUUCUAAUCGUCGACAUGUAUAAAUGUUGAUUGUUGCUAUAGCCUUUUCUAGCUCGAAUUCGUGGAUUUAAUUAUUGUUGGCAAUUCUGCAUUUGGAGCAUGGCAUAUUUAAAUUGAAUAGUUUCUACAUGUUGGACUUGGAAAUUGAAUUAGGAGAAAACUUGCGAUUUGGACCUGUCACCUGUAUAAACUGCCUGAUUUAGCUCUAGGAGCCGUAUUAAAUUGUACUGUCGCUGUAUCUUCGAGGCGAGUACUCCAGGUAGUUUAGAAUAUGUUUACACUCGUGUUGGUUCGCUGAGUGGAUUUCUACAGGGUCGUACAGGUUGUUCCGGACUGUUGGGUGCCGUCAGAGUUGACGGUGGACCCGUAUCGCCUUUUUGGCGUCAGAUUGUGCCGAGGGCACGUUACCUGUUGGUUGUUAGACCAGUUUGAGUUGAUUACUUGACUUUGGCUAGUUGGAGCCUGAUUGAGCUCGACAGAGAUACGCUGCAUACUCGGUUGGGUAGCGCCCACGAGUGCCACUCCGGAGUCAGGCUUGUGCUUUUGCGUUGGUGUCGCUCAUGCCAGUUGGACUUACUCUCCACGGACCAGUUAGAGUGGAUAGAGCGUGCUAGUCGCAACGGGGCAGGGACGGGUGUAUUCACAGUCCCGGGGACGGGUAUGCUUACAGUCCCGAUUGGAUUGGGUCAGAUUUGACAUUUUCUACAGUUGGUUAGUGUAGAGCAUGAUAGUGUAGUGGAUGAUAGCGGUAGAGUAUGCUUCCUGCUUUCCUUCUAUCCUUGCUCCCUUCUGUAGACUUAGUGGGUGACCGAUGUUGUUUUGGGCGGUACCCACUGAGGACUACUUGUUUUUACAGUAGUUCUCACGCCCAGUUGUUACCUAUGUUUUUGCAGAGCCACAGGUUCCGGCUGCUGCACCGUCUGCGGACCAGGAUCGAGGCAAGGGCGUCACGAGUUAGAGCCCUACCCGACGUGCUGAGCUAGAGGUGCCCUACUGCAGGUAGAUAUUUUGUUUCGAGUUUAUGUACAUAGUUGACUUAACUCGCCAGUGCGAGUAGCUCUGUAUUUUGGAUCUGUACUAUGUAUAUGAAACUCUGUUUUAUUUAGCUUCAGUUUUCUCUAGCAGCUCUCUACUACUGUUCGUAGUAGUGUUUGAUUUACAGGUACAGCUAUCGCUACGUAUACAGGAAAAAUUUCUUUGUAUACGGCGGAUUUGUCGGCGUGCCCGGGGAACGUGUAAUCCGGGGCGUGACAUAACGGGUGGAAAUGAUCAAAGGGAUAUAUCUAACGGUCGAAAAUUUAUAAGUACAAAGGGGUUUAUGCUUAUAAGAUUAUAGUAGCCGAACUCUACAUAUAUAAUUAUAUAUAAUAUAUAUUUUAAUUAUAUAUAUUACAUAUAAUAUAUAUUUUAAUUAUAUAUAAUUAUAUAUAUUAUGUAUUUUAAUUAUUUGUAUAUAGAGUUUAAGUUAUUGGGCUCCCAAAACCAAACCAGCAAGACUCUACUCUAAUUGCUCUCUCUCUUUUUCACUUGCUCAUAAAGUGGCUUCCCCUAAUUUUUUUUAAUAUUAUAAUAUCGUAUUUCAUACAUUCAUUUUGUAUGUUAAACUAUUAUUUUUUUUUAUCAAAUUUUAGAUAAUGUUUUGUAAAAAUUAAAUUAUAGAUUUCACAAUGUUAAGAAUUUCAAGUGGCUCGUUUAGGGCUCGAGCUCGCUCGACUCGAAGUUAGGCUCGCUCAAGCUCAGCCCGAAUUAAUUUCAAGCUGAGCUUGAGCCUAAAUUUAGGCUCAAAACUAAUUUCAAGCCAAGCUUGAGCUGACGUCGCUCAAGCUAGGCUCGCUUCAACCUCUACUCACUCAUCCCGUUCAAAAUUAGCUUCCUCGGGAUCUUUUGGCAGCCUUGUAACUGUAAAUAUAGGCCCUCUAAAUUUUUAUAUAUAAAAACUAAGUUUAAACAGUGAAUGAUAUAUCGCUUUGAGGAACCGAUAAAUGAUUCACUAUUUUCUGUAAGUGAUUAGGAGUGAAAACUGAUUGAAUAUUAUCUGAAAAUAUUUGUAUCCUUAUUCGAUAAUAUCCAAAUUCAGAUAGAAAGCAUCCGGAUUUGGUCGGAUACAGAUAUGGUUUUAGAAAGUUAAAUUUUUUUGGAUAUCUAGAAAAAACGAAUACGGAUUCUGUAUCUGAACUUUUAGUACUAUUGUUUUUAUGCUCUUUAUAUUUUCGGAUCUGCUCUGCUUGCCAGGCCUGCCCUAAUCCUUUUUCUCCAAAGGUGAUCACUUGAUUUCUUUUUAAUGAAUAAAACCUAUUUAUUCGCGAUCUCUCUCUCUCUCCGGCGUCUGCUCUCUUACCCUAAUCAUUUCUUCAUUCUCUCACCCCAUUAUCAAACCGAUCGUGGCCUGAGAUUGGCCAUCUACGAACAGGACAACGAAGACAUAGUCCCUACAUCCCUCAUCUCUCUCGUCUCUCUAUUUUUCUUUGUCGCGGACUCUCCCUAACUCUGAUCGUCGCCACCGACUACCUCCUCUUAUUUCGUUCGAUCUUGAACGACGCUCAAGUCUUGACCCACUCUCGCAUAGAGAACUUGGGUUAUCUGAUCUUUUUGUCCAAUUGUUCUUCUUACAGUAAGCUUUAUCUUAUACUCUAAGCUUCAUUUUAUACUUUCAAGUUUCUAACUAUGUACACAAAUUUUUUUUUUUAAAUUUUCAUGAAUUUUUAUGGCUUUUAUAGUUUAGAGUUUGGCUUUUUUAUUAUUUAAUUUUGUUCAGAAUUUUUAAUAGAUUUUCUCCUUUAUUUUUGUUUUAUUUUCAUUUAAUUAGAUUAAGAAUAUGUGGUUUUUUUCUAUACAAAUGCAAAAUAUCUAAUAGUAUUUCUCUAAUAGAAGAAACAUGUAAUAAUACUGCUAAAAAAAAAAAAAAGUUAUCUAAAAUCCGGAAUGAUUUUGAAAAAAUAGUUGAAAUUAAUGGAGGAUCAAGUGAUAAUACAAGUAAGGAAUUAAUUAUGAAUGAAUCAAAUUCCAAAAAUCAGGAAUCCACCAAUUAUGACAAGUAUUCAAAUCAUAAGCAAUUGUGGAAACUCAAGAAUGACAAUCUCUCAAGUAUAGCCACCACUCCAAAUAGAAAAUAUUUGAAUUCAAAUAUUGUACAUUUCUAGAAAAUAAUUAUGUAAAUAUUGUAAUCCCAAGAAUAAUGGGAUUAUAUUUUGUAUUCAAUAAUUCUAUAUAUUGAGAAUUGGUUUUGUGUGUUCUCCAUUUGAGGACAACAACCAUUUUCCACUAAUUAUAAUUUUCUUUAUGAUAUCAGAGCUAUAAGACAUUAGUCAUCAUACUUGAUCUAAUGGCCACUUCUGGUGCUUCUUCUUCUACCACAAGCCCUACAUUUGUUAUUGCUAACAUUAGCAAUUUAGUCUCCAUUAAGCUUGAUCGUGAUUUUCGCCGCUAGGCGGUAAGCAAUAGAUAAUUGACUCAAGAUCAAAUCAGGUGAUAUAGCUUGGCUAAGGUAAAAGAACCUUACCAACAGAUUGAAUUUUGCAAUGAAUAGUAAAAUAGAAAGUAGAAGAGGAAUACCUACAUGCAUUGAUUUCGUUAUUGCAUUUAGUGAGGCAUAAGCAUGAUGUUUAUUAUUUGCAUAAAAUUAUAUAUUGAUAUUUGUUGGACUAACUUGCUUAUGUUGUCUCUUUUGGACCUGGUGGGUCGAGCUCUUCCCUUGGGUAGCAGUACCCACUUAGAACUAUAUUUAUAGUUUUCACCCCCAUAUUUUUCAGGUCCAAACGUAAGCGGCACGGCGGCACGAGAAAAGGGCGUAGCUCGAUAGAUUGCGUCCUACCACUUGUGACCAGAGAUAGAUAUACCCUAGGUCAGCAUAGCUUAGGGGUAUAUGGAAGAAAGAAAUAAAAUUAUAAUAAAGUAGGUUGUAUUUGUAUGAAAAAGAAUGUUAAUAUAAUGUGAAUGUGACGAAUACCUGUAAUAGCACAGUGAUUUUAUGUUUUGAUGCCUCCUUAUGCAAUCUAUAUAUACAUUCUAUUCCUAGUCAGAACAUCGUGAAUUGUACUUAUUGUGACACUUUGGACGUAUGGGAAAAACUCUGUUCGUUCGGCGGUCUGUGUGCAUGCCCGAACCGACAAAAGUGGUGGCCUCGGGGCAUAACAGCGUCACGCCCCGAGACCGCCACUUGGUCGGUUCGGAUGCACACCCAGACUGCCGAACGGACAGAGCCUCCUCUGCCCACCCAAGGCAUAAAACAACAUCAUGUAUAUAGAGUUUUUCCCCAGGAAUAAUAACAACAUACAUAAAUUGUAGAGCAAUUAUACAAGAGCGAAAGAUCGAUUACUUAAAUAUUACAACUAAAACACUUAAGAUUCACAUUUAUCAUAUCAGAAUACAUCAUUUCCAUAUAUAUUACACACAUGCAUAUACAAUGACAUAUACAUUUUCAUCUCCUAAAAUGAAGCCUCUACAAGUUCUCUCAUAAUACACAAGUACUGCUCUACUACAUAGGGUAUAAUACUAGCACAUGGAAGUCCACUACCUAGGGCGCAAUGUCCUUGCCGCGAUCCUCGACCGCACUGCUUGUGCUAGGCUCUGCAAAACAAAGGGGUGAGAACUAAAAUAAGUUCUUAGUGGGUUCGGCCGCCGACCCCACCGACUUUCCCAUUAGGUCUAAUCAGGCAUAAGUAGCAAAAGAGAAUAGAGGAUAAUAUGCAACUGAAACAACUAUUAUGCCUCUACAAUAUGAAACUGGGUAAACAAAUAUGCUAUUAUGCUCAUGAUGCUUAACAUUUCUACCUUUUGACCCAAUCAUACUCGCUCACCUGGAGGUCGAGCCCACUCACAAUACCAAGGCCAACAGAUGGGAAGAAUUUCGCUUAACCCAUCUGGGGCCGUCUGAUGGGAAGAAUUCUGCUUAACCCAAACAUGAGAACUCCAAAGCUCACUACUUGUAGUGUCACGACCCACCACAAGCCAAACAAACAACGUAAGUAUGAUCCAGUCCUCUCAUCCCAAGGACACCCUACUAACCGGAGUAACAAUAUAUCGGAAUCUACUAAUCCCUAGCAUAUAACUCCACAAGUGCUAUCAACCACAGCUAGCUAAAAAAUCCUAUCAAACACAAUUAGUCAAGAUGCCACCAAGUUCAUGUCACCAACUUUCCACAAUGUUUUCUAGUUCACAUACUAGUUCUUUACAUUAUAGGGUUUCCAAUGUCCAACAACUCAAUCCUUAUGCGUCCAAUUUCUGAGUUCUUGACCCAAGUUAUCUAACUCUACUUUAGGAAGCAUGCAAGGAAAUUGAAAGCACAAACACAAUAAUAACCCUAAAAUGCAUAAAUUACAUACAUACAUAUAUGACCAAAACAAACAACUUAGAUAUAGAAAGAAAUUCAACUGUUCCGAAUAGCACCACCAACCUUGAUUCGAUGCCAAUUGUAGGAAAGUCCGAGCAAUUUAGCUUCCGAUACCGAUUCAACACUAUUCGUCGCUAACGAAUAAAAUCCCUCGUUUUCGGCUUGAUUUUCCUCAAUCGACCAUCGAAACAUCGCUACUCUUUGAAUUGAAGCUAUUAGGUGUUCUUCUAUAUAAUCACUACUCUUUGAGUUAGGCCUUAUCCAUAAACCCCAAUAUAAUUGCAACUUAACCUCUCUCAUUUAAUGAAAUUUUUACUCAACUCAUAACUUUUGCUUUUAAACUUGCUCCAAUAUUAGUCUCAUACACCAUUUUCUCCGUACUGGGCCCAAUUUGGCCUAAGUUCGGGAAAGUGUCCUGAAAUUUAGUACACUAUAGCGUGUCCCUUCGCAACCCACUAAUCAACAAUGAAAAAUUCAUUCCACUUGCUCUAUAAAUAUUACAAACGCAAAACUAUUUUUUAAAUAAUUAAUAUUAUAGCCCCCUUAAAAAAUUUAUUUUCACAAAUAACCCCACCAAAUUUAUAAUUACAGUUUUGGCACUAUUUCUGCCACGCAGAUCUUACGUAAGCACCAUGCUGGAAUAAGUUGAACACAGUAAUCUAUUCACAUGUCUAAACACAGUGAAUAGUUCACCGUGUCCGAAAAAAAAAGAAAUUUAUGUAUUGUGAAAAAAUAUAAGUAUUAAAAAGAAGGAAUAGGAAAAAUAUAAGUAUGGAACACGGUGAACUAUUCACCGUGUUUGAACACGAAGAAUAUAAAUAUGAAACACGGUGAACCAUUCACCAUAUUAGAAUACAGUGAAUGAUUCACCGUGUUCAAUUUAACGCCCCUCCGACUUGCAUGACGCUGAUGUAACGCCUGCGUGACGAGGAUAGGGUCAAAUUUAUAAUUAUAAAUUUGAUGGGACUAUUUGUAAAAAAAUAAUUUUUGAGGGAACCAAAUGCAGAAAAGCCCUAUAAAAAAAUAUAAAAAUUUAAAUUUUUAUAAUAGAAUUUUAAAACUGAAAUACAUAAAAUUUACUUGUGCAUUCAGUGCACAAAAUACUAUCCCAUCUUUUCCUUCUCAACUACGAAAAACUUUUUGCCUACACUUGAUCUACUAAUAAUAAUUUAUGUACGCUGAGCCUUUUUUUUAAUGAUUAAUAUUGUAAAGUUAAAUCUAAUUCAAUAAAUAUGAUUUAAAUUAUAUAAAAUUCUAUGUAUAAAAAAUUAUAGAAUUUUAAUUUUAAUAAUGGGAUUUUACAAGGACGACAUAUAAGAUUUUCUUAUACAGUGGUGUAUAUAUGAAUUUUUUUUAUAAAUAAACCUAUCAAUUUUUAUAAUUAUAAAAAUAAUUUUGUUAAAAAAAUAAUUAUAAAAAUAGACCUCUAAAUGCGGUGAAUGAUUCACCGCAUUCAUAACUUCUCAUUAGGAGUAGAAAAAGGGUAAAAGCGGUAAACCAUUCACCGCUUUUACCAUCGUAGAAAUAUAAAAAGAAGUGAGAAAAAAAAAAAAGCGGUGAUUGGUUCACCGUUUUUAAAAGCGGUGAACCAUUCACCGCUUUUAUAGGAUUAUAUUUAUAAAUAAAAAUUUAAGAGGUAUAUUUUUAGAAUAAAAUUUUAGAAAAAAACUAUUGCACUAAAAAACCCUCUUUAUAUUCUAUUUUUGUUAUUUUAUUGAUUUAUUUAAAUAAUUUAAAUUUUUUUCUAAUCUUUGUCAAAUAUGUCCAUAUAAAGUAAUUUAGUUACUAAUAAGUUCUAAUAAAAAUUUACGUAGUAUGUACACCAAUUUAUAUUAUUUUUAUUUAAAUUAAUUAAAUUAUUUUUUUAUUUAUAUUUAUUAAUUAAUAAUUAGACUAAUAAAAUAAUAUAAAAAUAAAAAUAUAAUUAAAACUCCGGUGUCCUCGCUCGUCGACUCUGCCUUUGGAAUGCGUGACCAGAGAUGCCUGUGAGGGUAGUCGAGAGCUCCUCCCCCUCCCAAUCCUCCGGUUAGGGUUUCUCCUUCUCUUUUCCUCGCUCACUCUCUCUCCCUUUCUCCUUCUUCUAUUAGCAUCGAUUAUUUCGUAUUUUGCAAUUUUCUAUGGAAAUUAUUGCGAUUUGAUCAGUAGAAGAAGAGCAAGACCGUUUAUUGCUUUGUCAUUUUAGUGCCGUAGCGAUCAAAUUUGAUCUUUGAGUUGAUUUCACUGCGAACUCAUCUGCUUUUUUGAAGAUUCGGAUGAUUUGAUUUUUCGGCAUAAAUCUUAUGCUGUGAAUUUUACCUGGUAAUCGUCUCUGAUCCGCUAUUAUCUUUACAAAUCGUGUGUAAAUUGGUUAAGUCUCUCUCAGGGGAAGUGCGAAAAUCUAUGGAGACAUUCUCAGCGAUAAUGCCCUUACGAAAUAAAACUGUUUAACUGUUUUACUUUUGAUUGACAUAAUGGUGAAUUAUGCUCCAAUCAAGAUCAUAAACUUAAGGAAUCAAUUAUGGUUGAAUUAAAUCUCCGAAAUCUAGAGACUACCAACUAUGACAAGUAUUCAAAUAUCUCAAACAUGGCAACUACUUCAAAUAGAAAAUAUUUUCAAAUGUUGCAUAUUUAUAUAAUGUGUUUAUAUAAAAUGUAAAACUUUUAAUCCCAAAAAUACUCAAUCAAUUUAUAAAUUGAAUGUUGGUUUUGUGUGUUCUUAGACAAGAUCGACAACCAUUUUUUACAUAUUAUAAUUUGUUUAUGGUAUCUCUCAAAAAAAAAAUGUUGAAAUUCUCUCUCAAAAAAAAUUCUUUAUGGUAUCAGCCAUAAGACAUGGUCAUCUUAUUCGUUCUAAUGGCUACUUCUGCUUCCUCCGUUUCCUCUGUGAUGCAGGACGGGUUAAACCUAUCCUACAAGUAAAUGCUACUUAGAUGUGGUAGGCAAAAUAUUUUGCAGAGAUAAAAUUAAACAAGCAAUUAUUUUUUUUUUUUUUUUUUUAAGAAAAGAACGUUCGAAAAGAAAAUUAAUUAAGAAAGAAAAAUUGAUGAGAUAGGAGAUUGUACCAUACGACAUCCAGCGAGUGCAUAAUUAAACUAUUGCGAUUAGUCCAGAUCAUCCACAAUCUAUUUGCAACGUCCUCCUAGUCAUGCUUGUAAAUACCGCGUAAUCGAAUUUCGCCCAACGAUAAUAAUCAAGUACCUUGCAAGAUCAAAGAGACUAAACAAUUUUCUGAAAUUUGGGACGAUAAAACAAGUCUACGAAUUUUUCCGAGAAAGAAAAAAAUUAGAAAUCAAAACAUUCUAUAGACCAAGCUUUUAUUACCAAUAGAUAAUUUGCGGAAAUUGAGAUAUAGAAGGAAAUACUAGCUUGUGAUGUGAACCGGGUUCAUCCAAUGUAGGCUGCUGCUUGUUGGUCACAGGAACCGGUUGACGUGUGCAAGAAGACAAGCAAGGCCGCCUCGGGAGAUGUGCACAAGAACCCUCGUCUCCAACAUCUUCUUCCUACUGGCUUGAUCACACAACUCUCACCUCUCACUAGAAAUUCCUCUAUUUUCUAAAAUCUUAACCAAACCUCACAAAUAGGUAGUCAAAAUUUGCAGAAAAUUAAGAGGAACUCAGAUCCAACAUAACCUUAUAACUCUGGACCUCGCCAGAACCGGAAACCCUCCAGGAAAAAACUUUCGCUCAAAAAACCUUUGCAAGAAAAGUUCAAAAUAUUAUUCAAUAAUCAUCGUCCCUUUUCAUAAAACCUUGUAGGUUAUUUAUAUCCUAAUUACAUCCGAGAAAAAAUCUCAACUAGAGAUUUAUCUAAAAAGAAAAUAACCGAAAAAAAUCUUAACUAGAGAUUUAUCUAAAAGGAAAAUAUAACAAAUAUUCCUAACAAGAAAAUCUUAAAAUAACAGAGUAAAUCAAGAAUAAUCUUCAGAUCCAUAUAGCGGGUUCGGGUGCCAACAUGCGGCGCCUUCGUUGAUAGACCUGAAACUCGGGCGAUGAGACGGGUCGGGUUCAGUCUGCAUCAUCUCUCCCCAGCUUGGAAAAAUCCGACUCUGACAGAUUAUGGCUGAUGUAGUCCUCAUAGAGACCUGGAGCAAUGUCUCUAAACUCGUGCUCUGGUAUCCAUGUCACUUCUUCAUCUGGUCGGGAUGCCCACUUCACCAUAAAGCUACGCGAAUCACCUGAUCGUGUAAUAACAACUCGAUCGUCGAGAACCUGUUCGAUUUCUUCUUUCUUUCUCGGUAUGGGUAGGGAUGGAAGUGGAGGAGGAGGUUGACGUGGAGAUAUAUUUGUGGAGAUGGGAUUCUCAAUGGAAAGAGGCUCAUGGUAGUGGCUCAGAUCCUCGAUAUUGACCGUUGAGUUAAAACCGAUAUUAGCUGGCAAAUCCAAGACAUAAGCAUUUGGAUUUAGUUGUUUCAAGAUUUUGAAUGGACCCAAAUUUCUCGCAUGUAGCUUUUUCACGGUACCGCUGCGAAAUCGUUCUGGUCGAACCCUUACCAUAACCAUAUCUCCUUCUUUAAAAUUUUCUUUAUGCCGACGUUCAUUUGCUUUAUUUGCAUAAAUCUCAGUCUUUAAAACAAUUGCUCGUCAUAUUUUAUCAUGCAAUUCUUUUAUAUGUUGAACAAAGGCUUCGGCAUGUUGGCUUGAUCUAUAGUCUACAGGUAAUGGAAUUAGGUCAAUGGGUGUCCUAGGGUUGUAACCAGUGACAAUCUCAAAUGGACUCAUUCCAGUGGUGCGAUUAACCGAGUUAUUAUAGGCAAAUUCAGCCAUAGGUAAAAUGCUAUCCCAGUUCCUAGUGUGAUGCUAGACAACGUAAUAAAUGUCCUAGGCUUCGAUUAACAACCUCAAUUUGGCCAUCUGUUUGUGGGUGAUAUGGUGAAGAAAAUUGUAAUUUAGUGUUCAUUAAUUUCCACAUUGUCUUCCAAAAAUAACUCACAAACCGCACAUCUCUAUCACUCACAAUAGUCUUUGGUAGUCCAUGCAAUUUUAUGACGUGAUCAACAAAAAGCUUCGCUACAUGGGUGGCGUCAGAAGUCUUUCUACAUGGUAUAAAAUGUGCCAUUUUUGAAAACCUAUCAACCACAACUAAAAUCGAAUCGUGACCUCGAAUGGUUUUAGGGAGUCCUAGAACAAAGUCCAUGCUAAGAUCUUACCAGGGGGCAUGAGGUAUAGGUAAACGUGUAUAUAAUCUAAUAUUCUUUCGCUUUCCUUUACUGGUCUGGCAUAUACCACACUGAGCAACAACAUGUGCAACAUCUCGUUUAAGACUUGGCCAAAAGAAACGAUCCUCUACCAAAAUAAUGGUCUUAUCCCUACCAAAAUGCCCUGCUAAGCCUCCAGAAUGCAAUUCCCAAAUCAUAAAAUCUCUCAAUGAACCUUGGGGAACACACAAAUGUCUACCGUUAAAUAAAUAUCCAUCAUGAAUAACAAAAUCAGGGUUAUCAUGCAAUCCAUCAAGAAUGUUCUUAUAAGUUUCACCAAAAUCUGGACACGUGGGAUAUUCGUUUUUAACUCGAUCAAACCCUCUGACUUGUGUUCCUACAGCAUGCAAAGUCAUGAUAACACGACUAAGAGCAUCAGCAACUCUGUUUUCGAUACCAGCAACAUGCUUAAGAACAUAGGUAUAUUCCAAAUUAGUACCGUUUGGUUCAGGUAUAAGCAAGAACUAGUUAUUACAGGGAUAGGUACAAGUAUGGGGAUAAGAAAAAUAGUGUUUGGAUGAAAAUUGGGUUGUUCCCGGGGAUAAGAACAAUUUUAGGUAGUUUUAUAUAGAAAAUGGAGGUGUUGAUGGGGAUAACCGAGAACUACUGUUCUCGGGUAAAAAAUUAGCAUUUGGGUAUAAAAGGGGGGAUAAGGGCCUAUUCCUAUCCCUAUCCCCUAACCAAACGCUGAGUAAGAAACGCAACCCACUUGGCAUGCCGUGAAUUUAAUUUCUUUUGCGACUUAAGGUAGCUAAGGGCUUGAUGGUCCGAAAGUAAAACAAACUCCUUAGGUAAUAAAUAAUGUCGCCAAUAUCGUAGGGCUUGCACAAUUGCAUAUAAUUCCUUGUCGUACGUGGAGUAUUUCAUCUUUGCCUCAUUCAAUUUUUCGCUAAAAUAAGCAAUUGGAUGACCUUCUUGACUCAAGAUUCCACCUAUUCCUACUCCAGAUGCAUCAAACGAAACCUCAAAGAUCUUCUCAAAAUCAGGUAAUCUCAAAACAGGUGGAUUAGCCAUUCGUUCCUUAAUUUUAUUAAAUGCCAUACUCGCAGCCUUGGUCCAUGUGAAUUCUCCCAUUUUUCAUGCAAUUUGUAAUUAGAGCCAUAAUGGUACUAAAACCUCGAAUGAAUCUUCGGUAGAAUGUCGCUAACCCAUGAAAACUUCUAACAUCAUAAAUAUUCUGCGGUUGGGGCCACUGUUGGAUUGCUUUGACCUUAACGGGAUCGGCUGACACUCCAUUUACAGAUACCACGAAGCCUAAGAAAACAACCUCAGGUUGCAUGAAAACACAUUUUUUGGUAUUAAUGUAAAGCUUUUCUCUCCUAAGAGUGUCUAAAACUUGCCUAAGGUGACUUAGGUGUUCAUCUUCAGUCUUACUAUAAAUCAGAAUAUCAUCGAAAUAGACUACAAGGAAUUUUCCUAUGAAAGGUCGAAGCACUUGAUUCAUGACUCGCAUGAAUGUACUUAGGGCAUUCGUCAAACCGAAUGGCAUCACCAACCACUCGUACAAACCUUCCUUCGUUUUAAAGGUAGUUUUCCACUCAUCUCCUUGUCUAAUUCUUAUUUGAUGAUACCCGCUUCUAAGAUCAAUUUUUUGUAAAGAUUAUGGAUCCAGCCAUCAUAUCAAGCAUAUCAUCCAAUCGAGGAAUCGAAAAUCUAUACUUAAUAGUGAUCUUGUUGAUGGCUCGACUAUCGAUGCACAUUCACCAAGUUCCAUCCUUCUUUGGAGUAAGGAGUGUCGGAACUGCACAAGGACUCAUACUCUCCCUAAUGAAACCUUUUCUAACCAAGUCCUCUACUUGACGUUUCAAUUCACCAUGCUCCUUAGGGUUCAUCCUAUAAUGGGGCAGGUUUGGCAAUGAUGAUCCAGGCACUAAAUCUAUCGCAUGUUGAAUAUCUCUCAUUGGUGGCAAUUCAUCAGGUAACUCGUCUGGGGUCAAAUCAGAAUAGUCAGACAAUAGGUUUCGAAGGUUCAAUGGCAGAUCAGGUUCAAGGGAAAGCUUCUCUACCUCUCGAACAACUAAUGCAUAAACAACGGUAAAACUAGCCUCCCUACAAAAUUGCUUCUUGUUCAAGAAAUGAAGCGGUCUAGUCUGCUCUACCAACGUGUUUUUCUUAGAUGUGGUUGGUCCAUUAUGUGCAUUAGAUUGGCUGGUCAAAGACUGAAUCGGCUUAGGUCGGUGAGUCUUAGCACGAUCUUUUUCUUAUCAUGAGUGAAGGUGUAUGUGUUUUGACGACCAUAAUGUGUAACAUCAUGAUCGUACAACCAUGGUCAUCCCAAAAGAAUGUGUCCGACAUCCAUCGGGAGGACAUCACACCAUACUUGAUCCCUAUAUGUAGCAAAGUUGAGAGGGACCAAACAUCGCUCAGUGACAGGUAUCGUAGUCUUAUCUACCCAAGCAACUCUAAAGGGAUUUGGAUGUGGUUCAGGGGUCAACUUCAUUCGGUCAAGGGCUGUUUUGGCUACCACAUUCAUGCAACUGCCGCCAUCAAUAACGACUUUGCAUACCUUAUCCCCGCACUUGGUAUAAGUGUGGAAGAUAGCAGUGCGUCGCCAAUCAUCCUCAUUCUCCUUCGUGGUGAGAACACAACGAACGACUUGCAGUGGAAUGGUGUCGUCUAGGUCAUCUACGUACGCGUUCUCAUCCUCGUCACUUGGAUACUCCUCAGUCUCAUGCACUACUUCCUCAAAGUCAUCUUCAUCGUUUUUCAUCAUCAAGUUACGCUUUUGUGGACACUUAUUCGAAUAAUGGCCCAUUCCUUCACAGUUAUAGAGAAAGGACUGGUUUAGUUUCCUCAACUAAAGAUUUUUCCCUAGAAUCUCGAUUAGGUUGAUUGAAGGGUGCGAUUGACUUACCAGUGUUUUGGUUUCUAUCGGUCCACUUCUUAGUGCUUGACUCCCCGGCUUGGUAACCGAAGCGCCUAGUAGGAGGUUUAAGAUAACGCUCAUAUUCGAGUGCGAGUUGGAACGCAUCUUCUACCGUGGUUACUCGAUGGGGUGUAAUCUCUUUCUGGAUUUCCUCACAUAAUCCUCUCCUAAACCGGGCCAACGUCACGUCCUCUUCUUCCUGGAUCUUACACCUAACAGAAAUCUCAUCAAACUUUUGCAUGUAAUCAGCUACGGACAUUGAACCUUGACGUAAGGACAAUAUUUGCUCUAUCUGAAGCUGCCUAUGGGUUGAUGGCAAAUAUUUUUCACUUAAUUUAGCCUUCAUCUCAUCCCACAACGUGAUUGGUGCUUGCCUAGACCUAGCCAAUUGUCGCUCAACACUCACCCAAUAUUGUUUGGCUGCCCCUACAAGUUUUAUUUUGGUAAAGCGAACGCGACGGUCAUCGGACAUAUCGUACCAAUCAAAAAAUUGGUCCAUAUCAGUCAGCCAAUCUUAGGAUCAAAUCUACCAUCAAAAGUUGGGGCUUCAAUUUUGAUCUUUUUGGUAAUGUCAUCACCUAGUGGGAAAUUAUGUCUAGGGAGGUCAGGUUGGUUUCCAUGGCGAUGGGCUCUCAGGGCUGUUCUAUCAGGAGUAGCAGUCGCAGUGCCUACUACGGUUUGACUAGUCUCAAGGAUGGCCACACGAUCCCCUAUGUUAUCUAAUUUAGUGUUCAAAGCAGUCAAUUGUUGUAAAAUCUGAUCCAUUGCAGUGGGUUCCAAAGACAUUGGUACAGGAUGAUAAAUUUUACCACUUCUAAGGAUCAUACAUUAACCUAGGUCUCUGAUACCAAAUCUUAUGCAGGACGGGUUAAACCUAUCCUACAAGUAAAUACUCCUUAGAUGUGGUAGGCAAAAUAUUUUGUAGAGAUAAAAUUAAACAAGCAAAUUUUUUUUUUUUUUUUUUUUAAGAAAAGAACAUUCGAAAAGAAAAUUAAUAAAGUAAGAAAAAUUGAUGAGAUAGGAGAUUGUACCAUACGACAUCCAGCAAGUGCAUGAUUAAACUAUUGCGAUUAGUCCAGAUCAUCCACAAUCUAUUUGCAACGUCCUCCUAGUCAUGCUUGUAAAUACCGCGUAAUCGAAUUUCGCCCAACGAUAAUAAUCAAGUACCUUGCAAGAUCAAAGAGACUAAACAAUUUUCUGAAAUUUGGGACGAUAAAACAAGUCUACGAAUUUUUCCGAGAAAGAAAAAAAUUAGAAAUCAAAACAUUCUAUAGACCAAGCUUUUAUUACCAAUAGAUAAUUUGCGGAAAUUGAGAUAUAGAAGGAAAUACUAGCUUAUGAUGUGAAGCGGGUUCAUCCAAUGUAGGCUGCUGCUUGUGGGUCACAGGAACCAGUUGACGUGUGCAAGAAGACAAGCAACGCCGCCUCGGGAGGUGCACAAGAACCUUUGUCUCCAACUUCUUCUUCUUCCUGCUGGCUUGAUCACACAACUCUCACCUCUCACUAGAAAUUCCUCUAUUUUCUAAAAUCUUAACCAAACCUCACAAAUAGGUAGUCAAAAUUUGCAGAAAAUUAAGAGGAACUCAGAUCCAACAUAACCUUAUAACUCUGGACCUCGCUAGAACCGGAAACCCUCCAGGAAAAAACUUUCGCUCAAAAAACCUUUGCAAGAAAAGUUCAAAAUAUUAUUCAAUAAUCAUCGUCCCUUUUCAUAAAACCUUGUAGGUUAUUUAUAUCCUAAUUACAUCCGAGAAAAAAUCUCAACUAGAGAUUUAUCUAAAAAGAAAAUAACCGAAAAAAAUCUUAACUAGAGAUUUAUCUAAAAGGAAAAUAUAACAAAUAUUCCUAACAAGAAAAUCUUAAAAUAACAAAGUAAAUCAAGAAUAAUCUUCAGAUCCAUAUAGCGGGUUCGGGUGCCAACUUGCGCCGCCUUCGUUGAUAGACCUGAAACUCGGGCGAUGAGACGGGUCGGGUUCGNUCUGUAUUUUGGAUCUGUACUAUGUAUAUGAAACUCUGUUUUAUUUAGCUUCAGUUUUCUCUAGCAGCUCUCUACUACUGUUCGUAGUAGUGUUUGAUUUACAGGUACAGCUAUCGCUUCGUAUACAGGGAAAAUUUCUUUGUAUACGGCGGAUUUGUCGGCGUGCCCGGGGAACGUGUAAUCCGGGGCGUGACAUCAUAUCUCCACCUGAAGCCAAAAAAUCACAACCCUUCGAGUUCAAUGCGCCUAACGAUAUCAAAUUGUGCUUUAACAUCGAUAGCUUCAAACGAUCGGUAACACCGUGCAAUGACGUCGAUCUUCUACAAAGAUCGGUAAUCCAGUGUUAUGACGUCGAUCUCUCCCAAAGAUCGGUAAUCUUUGGCUCUAAUACCAAUUGUUGGGAAUCUGGCACUCGCCCCGGUACCAAAUUUCGAGAAUUUGCAACCCGCUAUGAUACAAAUUGCUGUGGAUUCGGUAUCGAUUGUUGGGAUUUCGCAACGAAAGCUUCAAAUCAAAUUUUUACUAUAAAUCUGUCUCUUCAGCAAAAGCUGAUACAAUCAUAAAAGAGAGAAAACAACCAAAUAAAAAAUAUGCGGGUAAAAUAAGAUUUAUUAAAUAAGAGAAGAUUAUAACUGACUCAUCUUCUAUAACAGAAUAGCUACAAUCCUGAGCCCUCUUUUUGAAUCUCUCCUAUCUUUCUCUCAUCUUUCAUAGUCUCAAAAGACAUAUCUCUCAUCCUGUGCACCCAUGCUCAAGGUACACCAAUGACCCACUACUACGAAAGCCCCUUAUGUCCUCUUGCACCCAUGCAUUAAGUGCAUCCAAAAUCAUGACCUUGAGCAAUAAUAGCACAUAUUCUAUAUUUAUAGAUUACAUCAAUAAUAGCUAUAAUAGCAAUAAUAGCUAAUCCGUACCACUACCACCACCACUACAAUAAUAGCACAUAUUCUAUAUUUAUAUAUUACAUCAAAAGCUACCUGAAUCCUAAUCCAAUUAGAUUUCUACUCUAAUUAAUAUUUAAAUCUUAAUUUAUCUUCAACAGAUUUAAAUAUUAAUCCUAAUUCAAUUAAGAUUCAACAACAAAUCUAAUCAAAUCCUAACAUUCCAAAUUUUGGCAUCCUGUUGUUCAAGGAGGGCAGUCAUAGGCCAUAAUUUUUAUUUUUCUAAUAAGAAAAAUGUAAUAUAAUAUGAGAUAUUCUUAAAGCUUUACAUAUAUGAAAGGAAUGUUCUUCCCCAAUUCCUCAAUCACCAACCAGGUAAAGUACCAGGAAUUCUACACUGUCACACUUACACCACGUCAUCAAUAACAAGCCAAUUAUAUUUUUUAUUUUCAAACAAAAGUAUAAUAAAAAUAUUUUUUUACAAUCAUAAUGAGAUAUUUACCUUUAAAAGAAAAUAUUUGAAUAAUUUGUUACGCCACGUCACCAAUAUACCCAUUGCAUUAUAGAAUUUUUUUGUAAAAGUACAUAGCCCAAUAAAUUAAGUAUGAAAAGGAAUUAAUAAGAGAAUUAAUGCUCAUGGGAGUUCCCAUAAAUGAUGGAACCAUCCAUGUGCUCUCCCACAAUACCACACAUCACAUGCAUGCAACUUUUUUUUAAAAAAAAAAGAGUAAGAAGACCCCCCUCACCUAUCUGCAGUUCUGAAAUGGCCCAUCAACUUCCUACUUUUUUGGAUUGGUCCUUCUCACUUUUUAAUUUUUUUUAUUUGAGUUUUUAUGGGACUUUUUUGUAAAAAUUUUUUAAUAAUUUUUUGAUUUUGCGCAAAGUGACCAAUAUUUUGGAUUUUGCAAAAUAAAUUAAAAUAUUUUGAAACGGACCAAAAUAUCCCUCGACAUUUAAAAAAAUUUUGAUUUGAUUUUGCAAAAUCUAAAAUGUUGAUUUGUUUUUUGUAAAAUCAAAACCAUCUGAUUUUUUGUUUGCAAAAAGGUUUUUUUCUAGUUAGUUAAGCUAAAUUUUCCUUUAAAUAUAAUAUCUCUAUUAGAUAUGAGCUAUUAAUUGUUCUAGUAUAAUGUGCUAAAAGGUGAUUAAAAUUCUUAAAUUAUAAAAUUAAAAUUUGGGACUCGCUUGUCGAGUUGUAUCAUGUCUUUUGUUUUUUGAAUAAUAUUUUGUAUAUAAUUAAUGUAGGAGUGCAUAAUAAAUUAUUUGUAAUCUUUUCAUCUAAAAUAUAUACCGAGCAACAAAAAAUAAAAAUUUUAAAUAAUAAUUCUUUUUUUUUUUUAAAUAAGCUGUUUUCUGUCAUUUAGCCAAGUUAACCAAUAGCAAAAUAAAAAAAAAGUCUUUUCUCCAACAUAUUAAGUUAUAUAAAAUUAAUAUUUAAAAAAUUAAAACAUGGCAAUGAUACGGAACGGGGCCUUAGAUAGUGUCAAUAAAAAAAUUGAAGUUGAGAGGGUCAUUUCAGAAUUAUCAAUAAGGGAGGAGGUACCCAAACAUUUUUACCCUCCCCCAUUGUUUUUGUGCAUUAUUAUUUUGCGCUUUUAAAUAUACCAUUCUAUCAUUGUCAAUUUUUUUUAUUUGCUCUUGAGUUACGGACAAAAAAAAUAUUUUGACUUUUUGUUCUUUCAAAUAUACUCUUCUAUCGUUAUCAGAUGAUUUAAAGGACAGAAACAUUAGAAUUUUUUUUGAAUAACGGAGAAAUAUAUAAAAGAUGUAUUUGAAAAAAAAAAUGAAUAAAUAAAAUAUUUCGAAAAUUUUGAGAGGUAUAUAGAUAAUUAUUUCUAUAAAAUAAUACCAGUGGGGAAACAUAUAUAAUAUUUCCAGACUCCACUAUACGUACUGUUGUAGAAUGCAAGAAAUUUUUGGGCACGAAGUUAUAAAGAAAGAAUUUUUAAUUUAAUUUUCUUGGUUUUACUUUAUACUUCCAUAACUAGAUUAAUUAUGGUAUGCCAAAUAACAAUCCUAGUAUAUUAUGUUGUAAUAAGCGAAUAAAAAAGGCCAUCACUUAUGGAAAGUAAUGUUAAGAUAUGCAUACUUCUUAUGGGGCAUAUCAAGUUUUUUAAAAUUUAGUCAAAUUCAAUUUGUAAAUAAUAAAUAGAUUUAGCAAAUUUAUUUCUGAACAAAUUUAAAUCUCUCGAAUUCAUCGUCCUUAUCUUUCAUGUGUAUAUGAUGUGGUCAAUUUAGCAUUAGAAUUUGUGAAGAAACUUGACCUAAUGAAGUUGCGCCAAAAAUUCUGUUUACUUAAUUAUUACAAAUUGUUUGAAAAAUUCUUUAGGCAAUCAUAAUUUUUUGCACAGAUGUUUUUAUUCAGCGAGCAGCCCCAAUUUAGAAAUAAUUUUUUGAGAUCUAUGUGUUGAACCACUUCACCGUUCUGACCUAGUUAGGGACCCAAAUCUAAUUAUUUAGGUCUCCAAAUUUGCAUUUUUAGACUGUUUUUGAAAAAAUAUAUAUAUAUUUUUUAUAUUUUAAGUUAGGUUGUUUAGUCAGUUAUGGCUAUUUAUACUUAGUUUAGAUUUAGAAAUAUUUUAUACCAUGUUAUUUUUUUUCUCUAGUAGGAUUCGGAUAUAACCUCUAUAUAUAUAGAGAGAGAGAGAGUCCAACUAUGGUGUUUUUAAAAGCACAAAGUACUUGUUAUUUAUAAGUUUUCUGCUGUUAAAUUUAUCCAUUUGAUCAUUUUCAUCCGUUAAAUCAUACAAUUCAAUCAACCCACCCACUCAUUCCUAGGGGACCACUAUUUUUCUAACCGCACAUUCCUUCAUCCAAAGGUCGAAAAUCUAAUAACAUUAAUAACAUCAAUAACUUGGUGUUAUUAAUAGUAUAGAAGCUUAUUUAUGUAUAUAAAAUAAAAGGAGUAUAAUUUUACUAAUAUAUUUAAUAGUAGACUAAAUUACAAAAAAUCCUCUUGUAAAUACUCGCUUUUUCAUUUUCCCUCUUUGACUAUCAAAAAUUUAUAUUUUGUUCCCUUAAAUUUUCAAAAAUAUUUUCAGGGGGAUACGAUGCUAAUGGAGAGGGCAAAAUGACCAAAUUAUCUUUACUUUUUCUAUAAGAAAAUUUUUUUUAAUAUAUUCUAUAAUUUUGAAGGGUAUUUUUUGGUAUAAAUUAUAAAAAAUAGACGAAAUAGUAAUGAAGCCCUAACAGAUGGGGCUAAUCCAACAACUUGAAAUGUUGAGGAGUAAAAUGUAGGUUUUUGAAAGUUAUGAAAAAAAUUAAAAAAACAGAUAUUUAUAAGAAAGUUUUCUGUAAUUUAACCUUAAUAAUAAUUUUUUAUACUAAAAUAAAAAUUAAACUACAGAAUAUUUAACUAUAAUUUUUUUAAUUAUAAAAUAUGAUAAAAUAAAGGCCAAUUUGCAUAAAAAAUCCACUAGUUUUGCACUUUUGCAAAAGUAGGCCACUUUUUUCGAUAUUUUGCAAAUUCGGGCCGGAUUUUCAGCAAACUGACCGAAAUACCCUUAUACCUUUUUCUCUCGUUCUUUUUUUCUUUCUCUUCCCACAGAGCGUCGAAGGUGGUCCGCUUCGGUUUUGUCCGGCGCAUCCUUACCCUCGCCUGCGUGCCCCCCGCAUUUCUCGCCUCCGACCCCGUCGAGGUCGCGCUGCCACUUUUUUUUCCCUUCUGUUCGACCCUCUUCCACCGCCUCCGACGACGACGCCUAUCUCACCCUCUCUCGCCCUUCUCGCCUUUUUCCUCUCCCUCCUCCUUCGCCUCCUCUGCCGCCUUCGGCGACGACGCCUCUUCGCCGACAUCGGUGUUGCGGAGGUCGUUGCGGCGCCGCAGCCUCGGAGUAAGGGGUCUUUAGCAGCAUCAUCGCCGGAGUGGGGGCCGUUGGCGAAGAGGCGUGACAAAAAAAAAUUAUAGAAGAAGAAAAAAAUAAAGACAACAAAUUAUAUAAGAAGGAAGAAAAAGAUAAAAUUGCACUAUUAAAAUAAGAUUACACUGUUUUUAAAUAAAUUUGCACUGUUUUAAUGAACAUUUCACUAUUUGAUAUAAAAAUUACACUAUUUUGGAAUGAAUUUUACGCUCUUUAGGCUAACGUUGCACUAUUUAGAAAAAUUUUGCACUAUUUCUCUUUCUUUUCUUUUUCUCUUUCUUUUUUUCUUCUUCUUUCGCUACUGCCUCCCGCCCGCCCGGCCCAAGGUCUUUUCCAGCACCG
rnacentral:lncRNA from 1 species